UUUUGAUCUAGGUGGUGGUUACAUUUUAGCACUAUAUACUUUGAAUUUCUUUAAAACUUUGUUUUUGAACUAAUUUUCACAGAAACAGGCUCCAUUUCAUUUUUCUGUUUUCACCUUUUGCAAGAAAGGGUAAAAAUCAUUUCAAAAAUGUGAACUUCAGUUUAUUCCAUUGCUGGCAUGUGUGGCUUUCAUCUGUUAUUGAAGACACUAAGAUUCAUAGACUGAUAAUAUUCCAAUGCUUAUAAUAACAGUAAUGUUGGUGAUAAAAUAAUAUAAAAGUAGAAACAAAAUUAGUUGUCUCCCUUUUUUUUCGUUUAGUUUCUUUGUUCUUCUUACCCCUCUGAUGUGGGGAGGGGGUGUGGGGCUCUUUGUUGUCGCCAAAUGUGAAAAAGAAGAGGCAUUAUGUCCUUUUAUUUUGGAUUUACAGGACCUAUUAUGAAGGCAUUUAUGACUUCAAGACUUUUUUGUAUUUUAUUUUAUGGAAGCAUUUUUUUAGCGUCACUAGUGAAGGAGAAAUUCAUAAACAUAUAUACACACAUGCUAGUGGGCAUACACAAACACUGAUGUUCCACACAGUAAUUAAAAAAUUCUUGCUUUGAGGAGUAUCUUUUUCCUGAACUCAUGUCCAUGUCAAAUGGCAACAUGCCAAUGACUAUUUGCCAGCAGAUGGAAUGCUGGCAACACUUUUAUGGAUUGAAUGUUUUCCUUUCCCCUUUCUUUGUAGUGAAUGAUGUGUACUCUUUAGUUGCUCUUACAUAUUUGAUGCAUUGUGCUUCAUGCCCUAAUUGAUGCAGAACAGAAAAGUACCAGAAAAAAUGAUGGGAGUCUAGGAAUUACUUCCAAAAACCUUAGGCUUCGCAUAUAGGUUUAGUUUGCAUCACACAAAAAAGAAACAUUGCAAGCUGGAAGGUUUUGUGUUUUCAUUCAUUGAUCCUUUUAGAAGAUAGAGUGAUCAGCUUUGUAAACUACAACCCUAAGACCCCUAAUACUCUUUGGAACCAAUCACAGUAAUAAUAAAGCUGAGAAAUCAGAAACUUGAACUGAUAAAUAAAAAUUAAAAGGCACUUGCAAAUAUAAAGCAUUAAUGACUUUGGAAAUAAGAACACUCCAAUACCCCCCAUGCCCUUCGGAAAACUCAACCUUGACAAGUUAAAGUCAUGAAAUUUCUCAUAACGAUCACAAUUCAACUGCUGAAAUUCAUUGCUUGUGAUCCACAUACAAUCUCAAAGUGGCCUUUCUCUCCAUUCCACAAGAUGCUUUUGAUAACCUCCUCUUCUGGUUGAAACAAUUUAGUGACCAACAACUUUUCAAUCUUCUCUUUCAAUCAAGGGGCUGGUAGAAGAUGACCAUUUGGACCAUUAAUUGAUGUAGCAGCUUUAGGAUUAGGAAAAAGGGUGUGGUCUUCAAUAUUAGAGAUCUUAUUAAUGCCCAUAUUUUCUGGCAAGUCAAGUACAUAAGCGUUGGGACUUGUUUUCCUGAGAAUUUUAUAGGGACCAACAUUCUUUGAGUGGAGUUCUUAUAGGCACCUCUAGGAUAUUGUUCAGGCCUUAUUCACACAAUAACCAUAUCACCUUCAAUAAGUUCAGCAAAUUUUCUUUUCACAUCAUCGUAUGACUUAUUUAUUUAUUUGAUAGGCAAGCGGGAAAAACAUGUAAUCAUAUGACUUAUAAUUUCAUUGAUGAAAACAAGUUUCAUUGAACAUGAUAAUGUAUGCCAUCUAUAUGCUCACUAAAAGCAUCAGAUUCAAUGCUAGGUCAUGCAUCCAUUGGUAAAGGAACCAAAUCCAUAGGCUUUCUAGGAAGUGAUUCAGUCACAAUCUCAAAUGGACUGUGACCAAUAGACCUGUUCAGGGAGCUAUUAUUUGCAAAUUCGGCCAUUGAUCUGAUCUCCAGCUAGGCAGUGAAGUAAAUGAUCCAAGCUUCAAUUAACGACUUCUAUUUAGCCAUCUGUUUGAGGGUGAAAAGCAAAAGAAAACUUUAGUUUGGCAUUCAGUAUUUUCCAUAAAGUUCACCAGAAGAAACUCAUGGACCUACCAUCCAGUUUAGGAAAAUCAUGAAGGCGAACAAUUUCCUUGAAGAAGAGGUUUUUUUUUUUUUUUGAUAGGUAUUCCUUGAAGAAGAGUUUAACAAUUAGGCAACAUCUUUAGUCCUUAAGCAUGGGAUAAAUUGUACCAUCUUGGAGUAAUGAUUUACCACUACACGUAUGCAAUCAUGUCUCUGACAGUUUUCGGCAAACCAGGGACAAAAUCCAUGCAUAGGUCUAGCCAUGGCUCAUGUGGCACAGAAGUGGCAUGUAUGGAUCUGUAUUCUUCCUUUUCCUCUUUGAUAAUUUGCAGGUUCGAUGUCUGGAGACAUUCUUAGCCACAUCUUUUUCAGACUUGGUCAAUAAAAAUGAUUUUCCACCAUUGUAAUGGUUUUAUCUCUUCCAAAAUGACCAGUUGUUUCUCCAGCAUGAAGUUCCAAUAUUACUUGCUCAUGAAAUGAUGUUUUGGGUAAGCAAAGCCGAGUCCCUUUGAAGCAAUAUCAAUCAUGUAAAAAAUCACCAUAUUCUCCCGAAUUUCUAGGCACUAAAGCAACACAUAUAGUGCUAAAAUCUUUGCAAGAAGGAUAAGGGCUCUUAAACGAGUCAAAUCCAACAACUUGUACAGCAAUAGAAGAAAGAGUGUAUGCCAAUUUGCUAAGAGCCACUGCAAAGAAUUCUUUGUCAUAGAUACAAUAUUUCUGCUUUGCUUCAUUAAGAUUUUUGCUGAGAAAUGCAGUAGGGACACCUCUAACUCUUAUAUUUGAUGCAUUGCAUGCCGCUUCUAACACCUCCCGGAAAAUUGGAAGCUGCAAAACCAGUGCUUCAAUUAACGUUUUUGCCUUGGUCCAAUUCAACUGAUUUUUCUUCAUAGAAUAAGUUAUAGGGGCUGUAACAUUGCUGAAACUUAUGAUGAAAUGUCCAUGGAACAUUUCUAGCCCAUAGUAACUUUGUACUUAUUGUGAUGUGUUGGGAAUUAGGAUGGCUUUUACUUCAUUCAUACUUCCAAUCCUUUUGCCAAAACAAGAAGCCUAAGAAUACUACUGCUGAGAUCAUGAAAGAGCAUUUCUUCAAAUUUAUGUAGAGCUUUUCUUGGGGAACAACUGUCAUAACUUGCGAUAGAUGAGAGAUGUGAUCUCCUUUGGUCUUGCUGUAAUUAAGAUGUCAUCAAAGUAAACAACCAGGAACUUUUCAAUAAAUGGCUGAAGUACUUGAUUUAUGAAGCACAUGAAUGUGCUAGGGGCAUUUGAAAGGCCAAAAGGCAUGACUAGCCACUCAUAGAGGCCAUCUUUUGUUUUAAAGUCCGUCUUCCAUUCCUUUUCCAGUGUGCUGCUUAUUUGAUGAUAUCCACUCUUUAAAUCCAUCUUUGAAAAUAUGCAAGAGCCAGCCAUCAUGUCAUAUCUAACAUGUGAUUGAAUCAAGGGAUAGGAAACUGAUACUUGAUGGCUAUCUUGUUAGUAGUGUGACUGCCAACUACUAUCUUUUUUUGGUGUUAGCAAGGCAGGGACAGCACGAGGGCUUAAACUUUCAUGAAUAGUUCCCUUGGGCAGCAGCUACUCCAAUUGUCCUUUUAGUGCUUCAUGCUCACUUGGAUUCAUAUGAUAGGCUGGAAGAUUAGGCAGUUGAGGCCUUGCCAUAAAAUCUAUAAGCAUGCUGGAUGUUGCACAGAGAGGAAAGUUUUUGAGCAACAUCUAUGGUAGGUCUUUUCGAGCAACAUCUAUAGUCAUCAGGAUCAUAGGCUCUAUAAUCAAAUGAAUUUCGGUUUCUUCAUCUUUUUGUUGUUCUUGUUGUUCUUGUUGUUCUUCAUGCUCCAUUCCGAUGUACAAAUUGUUCUUUGGACAAUUUAGGUUAUUUGGCCGGGUUGUUGACACUUAAAACACCUAUUAACCUUACCCUUAGGGUUAGCGGCAUUAGAAGAAUACAACUUAGACCCUGUAGGUUGGACAAAUGGCUCGGAUUGGCCUAUUCUUGCACUGCAACCUACAUCAGUGAACCUCCUCUGCACUGGUUCUAUGGAUGAAACUCACAUCCCAGGUACGCCUCCAUAUCUAAUGCAAAUUGAAAAGCUUUUUCUAGGCUGUAUAAUGGAUGAUGCAUCAACUCUCUUCUCAUUUUAGGUCUCGAUCCAGCUUUGAAUCAUGCAAGAGUUUGCCCUUGGGUCUUCUACUAUUUGACUCCAAGUCUUUAGCUCAUGUAAUCUUUGCAUGUACUUUGGUCUCUGCAACAGACAUGUUGUUUUGAUUCAUAGUAAUGAGGUGAUUACAUAACUUAUUACAAUAAUUGGUCCUGCAUAUAUUUUUCACAUAGCUUAUCCUUCAUCUCCUGCCAUGUGCUGACAGGUGGUAGCCUCAUCUUCCCAUCUUCCUAGUAUCUCUUUCAACAUCUAUCCACUAAUCUUUUGCUAGGCCUACUAGUUUCAUUUUAGUAAACCACCCUCUCUGUUCAUCAUUCAUACAUACCAAUCAAAACAGUCCUCAAUUGUAGCUAGCCAAUCAACAAAUUGAGUAGCAUCGCCCUUCCUUCAAGUUAGGAACUUCUCCUUUUACUUUCCUUGUGAUAUCUUCAGCAGUUUCACAAGGUUUACACCUUGUUUCAGGUAGUCCUCUAGCCCAUUCAGAUAUAGGAUAUUGUGGUGCAUGUCCGAUGUUCCUCCAAGUUUUUGUUGUUAUUAAUUUGAGAUAAUUCUCCUUGCACAACACGUGCUAAAUCAUUAGUGGGCUGAGAUAUUUGUGUCUCAAUGUUGCUUAGUUGAAUAUGCAGGCUAUCAAGCUGUUCCAUCACCAAAAUAGUAUCUCAUCAUGUUGAUUAUUAGAUAAAUCUAUUUUGAAACUCCUCCUAGGUCUUGUAAUCAUGAUCUCAGCUUGCUCUGAUGCCAAAAUUGAUGCCAAACAGAAAGGUAAUAGAAAACAUGUUGGGACUCUAGGAAUCACUUCCAAAUCUUAGGCUUCACACUUAAGUUCAGUUUGCAUCACACAAACAAGUUGAACUGUCACAGUACGAUUGGUUCAUAAUAAGGUGUCAUCUGAUUGGUUCUCGUGGAGGCAACCUGUGAUUGUUCAAACUGGAGGCUGCACCUGAUUGAUUACAUUGAAAGUUGGAAGGUUUUGUAUGAGAUAAAUGAACCAACUUUAUCCACUAUAACUCUAGACCUUAGACUCUUUUGGAGCUAAUGGCAAUACUAAUGAAGUUGGAAAAUCAACAAUGUGAACUGAUAAAAAAAAUUGAAAGACUCUUGAAAAUGUAAAGCAUUAAUGAUUUUGGAAAUAAGAACACUUGUGAUCCUUUGACUAGACUCAUAAACAAAACUUAGACUGAAAUCCACAUUGAAGUAUAUAAAAUCCCAACUGGGCCUAUUAUCAUCCUAAGUAUACCAAAUCAUAAUUUGGGCCUUAAGAGUCCAAUCUCUAUGCAUUUGUUAACCUUUCACAGGUGAUUGCCACUUGUCUUCAUCGCUAACAAACACGAUUAUAGCAUCAGAGAAGAGCCAUGUCCCCAAAUCUGGCAGUAAAAGUUCUUUUUACAAGCUAACCUCAGGGAUCCAAUUACUACAUUAUUGUGUUAACCAUGAGCAUUGGUGCUCCUGUUCUGCUUGCAUGGUUACACUGAACCUGCUAUCCAAAUGUGUUGGUUGACCGAAUGAGAAACUCUAGGAAAAUGAAUGAAUUCAUAGUGACAUAGCAACAUUGAAUGCAACUUGUGUGUUUGUGUGAACAGGAUUGGGCGAGUUAAAGAGAGUUUUUAGAAGGGAUAAUACCUUUUUAAUUGGUCUUAGUGUUCAGUAUGCAGCUGGUUCAGUGAUCAGGAGGCCAGUUUAUAAUACAAUUUUCUUGAGAUUUUUAUUGAAGUGAUCCCUUGAAAAGUCAGGCUACUUUUCCAAGAAGUAAAUAUUUUAUCUUGUAGGUUGUAAAAGAUGCAUUCUCAGAAUAGGUGCCUUGAUUAUGUUUCUUCAGCAGAAGAACCUACAAUUAGGAUCCUGUGUAUAUCCUUUCUUGGAAUUUUCAUAAAUUUACCAGUAUUAACUUCCUAUUUUAGGACUAACUGUUCAGAAAAUCUAUGGAAAAGACUAAAGAGUAAGUACUAAGUAGAACCUCCAAGGGCUGCUAAAAAGCACUUCCCAGGGCCAUGAGCCAAAACUGGGCCAUUUGGAAAGGGGUUGUAACAAGUCACUUGACUAGGGGUUGUUAGAGGCCAUCAUUAGCCAAGAUUGGUUUUAGAUUCAACUUUAGGAAUUUAUUUAUUUUUCCUGAUUUCUCUUUUAUUUUUAGUUACAUAAUCAUAUUUGACUCUUGCUUUCCACUCUAAAUUCACAAUAUGUGAACCUUAUGAUAGAAAUUUUUAACUUCAGAACAUGAGUUGGGAUGUAUCAGAGAAGAAAGUUUCAAAUCCCUGGACUAGCAUUUCUGUAAUGCCUCAAUGAAAUUUUAUUGUAUGAUUAUCUACUUGAAGUAGCAAACCAUUAUCCUUUUAUUGCCAUUGAAUUGUGAAACCAUUAUGCCAUUACAUUGACAUCUCCAAAUGAAUUAUUUUAAUUUGAAUAGUUUUGCAUUAACUUAUUAUUUGACAAUCAUUGCCUAUAGUUUUUUGGCAGAACACUAUGAUCUCACUAAGCAACAUCCAUUGAUAAUUUAUCAGGAGAAAUGGUUAGAAGUUUUAGGUUGUGGGGUGACAGAGCAAGAAAUAUUACAGAAAAGUGGUAAAACAGGUAAUGUUGCUUGGGCUUUUGGGCUUGGAUUGGAACGGCUAGCAAUGGUUCUGUUUGGGAUACCUGAUAUUCGGCUUUUCUGGUCAACUGAUGAGCGGUUGACCUCUCAAGUAAUUCCCCAAUUCAGUAAAUGAUACUGUAUUUUAUUUUAUUCUCCUUUUCUGUCUUUGUGGUUAAGUAAUCAUUACCAAAAUUGAUAUCCUUAGGAAAAUAAAGCAUGCUGAAAAUUGACCUUGUUGACAUUCUUAAUGUCUGAUUUAGGUUCCCUGAAUGUUUAAUUUAAAUGCUUUGUAUGCAGUUCUCAAAGGACCAGCUUGGGGUCAAGUUCAAGCCAUUUUCAAAGGUAUUGCUUAUAUUUUUCUCAGUUUGAUAAUAGUAGUAUCUUCUUCUGAUGUUGUGUUAAUUGAAACUGUUGCAUAAUUUUCAUGCAAAAGGAUCCAAGACAUUUUGGGGGCCGGCAUUUCUAAGUAUAACCAGAAAAAGUCCUUUAUGCAAAUAUGUCUUUUACAUUCUGAAAUCGAAAAAAUUAAUUACACACAACAUAAUAACUAAAUAUUUAUACCUGUUAGAGCCCCUUGUAACCUUCUCUAUUGGCUGCUAGAAACUGACUAUUGUCUUUUUGCAGUAUCCUCCUUGUUACAAGGGCAUGAGUUUUUGGAUUAAUGAGUCGUUCACAGAAAACAAUUUAUGUGAGGUUGUAAGAGGAGUUGCUGGAGAUUUUGUCCAGGAGGUAUGCCUUUUUAUGUUUCUUCUUGUAAAUUGUUCAUUAGCUAUAGAUCUCUUCAUGGUUCACUUGGUAGAAUUUUCCUAACCAUUUGUAUAGUUACACUGAAAGCACCGAACCAAUUUGUGUUUUAAUUAGGGGUGUGCAGGGUUUGGUUUGUUUAGUUUCGAACUUUAAAAUAAAACCAAACCAGUCUAAUUGGUUUUAUGUAUUAGGAACCCAAGCUGGCCUAAUCGGUUUUAUGUAUUAGGAACCAGACUAAUUGAACUGAAAGAGGGAACUGAUCGGUUCAGUUCAGUUUAAUAGCAAUAAUUGAUAUAAGUUAAUUUACUAUAUUUCGGUCAAGAAAUAAAAUAAUUUUUUUUUUUUUAAUCAAUUUGGGUCGAAACCAAAAAGCUCAUAAUAGGACAUUGUUGGUCAAAAAGCUUAUAAUAGUUUAUUACAACAAGUUGCUUUAGAGUUUGCUCAAAUUACAUCAUUGUAACUCAUUUCAAAUCAUAUUAUUGUAACACAGCCGCAUGAAUAACUGUUGUUAUAGUCUAUGCUUAUCAUACUAAGUUUGGUUUGGGAUUCUAUCGAGUGUGAAAGAAGUGCACCAAAUUAAUAAGGUAACCAAUGGUUAUUGUAUAUUAUAGGUGUAUGUAUAUAACUUUUGAUUUGGUUUGGUUUAUUAUUUGUUUUCUAAAUGGCAUAGUUCAGUUUUUUUUAGAAAACCAAAAUUGUUGAAAAAUCUUUAAAAAUUGAUUGGUUCAGGCCAGUGUGGCUCAGUUCUAUCAUUUUUGUCCAUUUAAUCGGUUUUUAACACACCCCUAGUUUUAUUUCACUUUUCAGUUCUUGGACUUUCCAUGAAAAUAAUAUUGUUGUCAUGAAGCUACUGAGGCAGUUAUGGACCAAUUCCAUCCUCUGAAUUUGCUCAUAAAAGAGAUCCUCUCUCUUCUCUUCUUUUCUAUCUACCAUCAGUUGCAAUAAUAGAUCCAGUUUGCACAAAGCCAAGCUUAGAAAAUCUGGUCAUUGACAACCUGAAUAGUCUCUGGGAGCAUCCAGUAUCUUUUCUCCUUUGUGAGGGUGGAUAACUGGUCUGGGUCCCCUGCAUCAUUUUUCAUAGGUUGCAGAGCUGCUGUGUCCGUAUAGGAAAUAACAUGUUCUUCCUUCAUAGCUUUAAGUGCCAUCAGGAAUUGGAUAUGCUAAUAUGAGUGGGAGGACUCCAGAUGGUGGACUUACGAAGACCUCCACUCUGAUUCAUUGAUGCCAAACAUAUAAUUGUGAUAAAGAGAGGCUUCGGAAGUUGAUAUUCUUUUAAAGUGUUUCCAAUAUUGAAGGUUUAUAAAGAGGUUCAAAUUGAGAAAUUACUAUUCUCUAAAUAAUAGGAUCGUAGUCGGUUUUUCGUUCAAAAUUUGUCCUAUAUUCCAAGAUGAUUGUUGACAAUCUGAUCUAUAGUUAAACAGUGGCCAUAAUAAGUCCCUAUUUUCCUAGUGCCUGAAAGUGAAGCUCCAUUCUGAAGUUUUCUAAACUAUAAGAUACAUUUUUGACUUCCAGGUGCAAUUGAUCGACAAUUUCACCAACAACAAAGGAAUGACCAGUCAAUGUUAUCGGAUAGCAUACCGGUCCAUGGAGCGUUCACUUACAGAUGAGGAGAUAAAUGAGUUGCAGGUAUUUCAUGUUUAGGGGAUUUUGUACAAGUGAUUAAUAUUUCGUCUUGAUUACAGGUAAUGACUAAUAACCUGGAAUUUGGCUAUGAUUCUGGGGUGCAGUGGAAUGUUAGGGAGCAAGUGCACAGCAAGUUGAAGGUUGUUCUUAGAUGAGAUUUCUGAUGCUGGGAACCUAAUUUUUCUAUCUCACUCUGAUAAGUCUCCUUGUGAACAUUUUCUAUUAUUAUUCUUUUUGUUCCUACCUUUUACAUUUUGAACUAGGUACAGUUGGGAAAUUAGGCAUUCAAAACCAGCUUUAAUGGGAGAAACACUUUAGGAAAAUAAGGAAAAUGUACUAGAAAGAAUAAUGCAUACGUUGAUCAAUGUGAAAUUUAUUUUUGUAUACAAUGUUUCUCUAAUAAUUUUAACAAUGCCUGACCUUAAAUAUAGUAAUUAAUUGCUCUUUUGCAGUUGUAUUCCCUUUUAUUUUAAUUUUUAAAUUUUUUUUUUUUUUUUAAGAACAUCACAAACAACUAUUUUAUUAUAUUAAAAUAGUAGGUACAAAGCAAGAUGAGAAAUCUUCCCAAUUAGUAUAAAACACCCUUAUGCAAUAUUUAUGAAAAUAGGUGUAUAGUGUCCAAAAAGAUCAAUUUAUCUUAUAGGCCAAACUGGUUUGGACAAUGCUCACUAUAGAUCCAUAAGGUAAAAAAAUCUCUUAUAGAAGAAACCGAAUGUCUUCCUCCAUGCUUUGCUAACACUCCCAGCACAAUUGCUUUAGCAAUGAACAGCAAUGAACCUAAUAAAAUGGCCAUAUCAUUUCUGAUCUAAUAUCAAUGAUUUGAAGUUAUGACCCCUCAAACUUCUAGGGUUCUCUUUUUUUUUUCCUUGGUCAUCCGUGAUAUUAGAAUGGUAGAAGCUACUUCUAAUAGGAGAUUGGAGAGGCCUAAAGCUUUUGCUUGCAAUAAACUCUCUAGAAAGGUUAGGAUCUUUGCCUCAAUGGCUAAACUCUGACUUGCAUAUAUAGAGAAUUCUCUUAUUAUUAUACCAAAGUGGUCAUUGAGUAACUCUCUAAUCCCCAACUCCCCUAGUUACCCAAAGAACCCCAUUAACAAUUAGCAUAUAACUUAUGCAGCACAUGCUACACUGAUGGAGCCUUUAGGAACUAUUUUCAUGUUUGUUAGGCUAAUUCAUCCUCAAUAUUAUGUCAAUGCCAACUUUUAGCUUGAGUUUGAAUUGCCUAUAUUAUGGAAAGAAAAUAAGAUAGGAAGAAACAUGAAAUUCUCUUGUUUGAUUUACUAUAAAAAAAUAUGAAGAAAAAUAAAAUAUAGUAGAAAUGACUUAAAACCGUUAUACGUUCAAAUUCUUUAGUUUUUCUAUGAUAGAAAAAUAAAUUUGAAGAAGCAAGUAACUUUAGUUCAAAUUCAUUUUAUUGGGUAAUCAUUGUUUUUAUUACCCAUCUCAAGUUGUUAAGUCUUUCAAGCCUUAAAACUGAUUAGAGGUGAUUGUGAUAUCCUACAUGGGAUAGGGAAAAAAGUUUAUGACAUUAUACAUGUAUACAUUUCUUUUAAUAAUAUAGACACAUUUAAAGUCACGAGGGAUCAAAAUGAACGAUAUCAAUAUAAAAUGAGAACAAUCUAUUACAAUUAUACUUGCAAUAACCUUAAAAAAUUUGGAUACAUAAAACUACAAUCAUGUUUUUGUUGGGAAAAACGGUGUAGUAAAUACUUUUUUGUUGUUAUAUUAUAAAAACCAUAAAUUUCUAAAUUUCCGUUUCCUUUUCAAUUCUUUAUAUGUUUAAAAUUUUCAUCCAAACCAAGAUCCAAGAAAAACUUAAAACAAAGAAAAAAUGAAAAAUUAAUUUAACAUGUAUAAUUUUUUAAUAAGAAUUUAUAAUUCAUAAUUCAAACGAUAUUGUGAAUUGUAGACACUGGAUUAUACUUAGAGAAUCAUUCAAAGAAUGACGGUCAUGUGAAUGACAUAGGAUACCCAUUGCGUGCAUGUGACAUCUACUUCAUUUAGAGUCAGUUUGACAAUUAUUCUAAAAAACGUUUUUAGUGUAAAACAUGUUUUUGAAAAAAAAAAUUAGAUGCUUGACAAAAUUUAUGAAACACUUUUAAGAAUCUAAAAAAUCACGUAUAGUGUUUUAUGAAGAAAAACUUAAUAAAAAGUGAUUAUCCUCAAAAUACUUUCAAAGAAUACUUUCAUUAAAAAUACUUUAAAUAAAAACACUACAAAACAUACCUUUGAUUCAUUAUAAAGUAAUUUUCAUAUUUUAUAUAAUUAGACCCAUGCGAUUUGUCCACUAUUCAUGAUGAAUUUCCCUAUUUUAUAUAAGAACCCAUGAGAUUUGUCCACUGUUCUCUUUUCCAACUCUUCCAACUUCUUAUCUAAUAUUUAAAAUUGAUAAAUAUGAAUCCCUUUACCCUAGAGAAUAGUUCUAAGUGAACAGCUUAGCUUAUUUCAGUUUUCAUCUAAAGCAUAAUAGGUAUUCAUUUUACAUUCUAAUUCAUCUCCAUUCUCAUCCUAUUCUUCUUAGUCGGACAUGCCAAACACAUCCUUAAGCCAAGGAUGAACUUAUCGGUUAUGACUAAUAUAUCGAUAAUUUAAUUUUAUGGAUGUAUUGAGAUACAUGGAGAAAUAUCGGUGGAUAUUUUGAUAUAAAAUAUAAGUAAGAUAAAUAGAUUAAAAUUCAUGAAAAUGUUAAAAGAAACUUUAAAAAUGAUAUAAUAAAUAACAAUAAAGAUUUUAAAGUUGGUAUACUAACGAAAAUGAUAUAUGUAUGAUAUAGUUUAUCAAAUUUGAUAAUAAUAUAUGUGUGUUAAUAAAAAAUUAUUAUUUUGAUAUGUCAAAUAUUAUUCGAGAAUAAUGUUGCAACUUUUGUUUAUAAUACAAGUAAUUUUAAAAUAUAAUUAAUAUUAAAAUUGUGAUCUAUUUAAUUCAAUUAUAUAUAUAUAUAUAAAAUUUCUUUAACAUUUAGUAAAUAUAUUAAUGAUAUAAAAAAAGCUCUGUGAAGAAAAUUGUCAUCAUAAUUUUUAUGCCUUUUGUAUUCAAUUAAAUGAAAACUUUCAUUUAAUUAUCAAAUGAUUAUAAUUAAUUAAUUUAUUAAAAUAUUCUUAUAAUAUUUAUUUUUAUAAUGGCUUUUAAUAUAUAUAUAUAUAUAAUUGGUCGUCUUUUGUCUAGAAUUCGAAUUUACCGUGUUGACCAUGUUUGAUCAAGAAUAUUACUCGAGUUUUGACCACAUUUGAUGAUUGAGAAUGUCAUCGAUGUUUCGUGAUUUUUUAAUCCUUACCUAAAACAUGACAUUUUAUUUCGUUUUUAUUCUCAUCCUAUUCUAAUUUCUAAUCUGACAUACCAAACACAUCUUACGGUCUUCAAAGGUUUUGUCCAAGGUCUAACUCCCAAAGAAUUGGUGUGGUGAUCAUUAUUUUUGUUAGCCAUCAAAAGUCGUUGGAUCUUUCAAGUCCAAGGGAAAAAAAAAUUAAGCAUUUUUUAAAUAAACAUACCAAUUUAAACAUUUUUUUAAUAUAUAUAUUUUGGUAGCUUUCGUAUCAUGAUGUUGACAUCGUUUAAAAUUGGGAAACUUGUGUUUUGGUCCUCUGAUAUAAAAAAUAUAUGCUUUUGGAAACUAAAAUAUAUGAAAUAUGAAAUCCAACUAUUAAUGGGAAAAAUGAUAUCGGAAACGUGCACUAUGUCCUGUUUACUUUUCCUCUUCCCAUAUUGCCCCUAAAUUUCCCCAUGUCAUUAGCAAGUCCUCUCCAUGUUAGCAGAAUAAUCUGAAACUUGAACUAAUUCUCAAAGUUGGAACAUAAAAAAACCCAACCCUAGAACCAAAAGUAUGGAAACUCGUCUACGUUACUGAACAAGGAAGUGUCAAAAUGUGCCUUUUAUUGUGCCUUUGCCUGAGACGACUUAGUAGGCGCUUGCCUUAUGCCCUAAAAAUGAAUAGAAAAGAAUUAAUGGCUUGGAUUGUGUACCAACAACCAAUCUCCAUAAAAGUCAUUUGCCUUGAGUUGGUAAGGGAACUUGCUGCAAUUCAAUCUAGGGUUAUCAUAGAUCAUCUAUUUUAGCUCUCAAUGUUGUUUCAGGUAACAUAUUUGAAUGAUAUUUUAUGAAUUUCAUUUAAUACAAUAUGUGUUCUAAAUGAUGCUUCUUUUUUUAUAAUUAGAGUUAAUCUCUAUUUACUUUUCUUAGAUUUUACCAACUGUAGUUAGAAUUCCUCCAGUUCAUCUUUUAAAGAAAAAACAACAUUCGGUUGAUUAUGGGUGUUGCAAUUUCUAUUGGAUGUGUGAGCAUCAUACUAAUAUGUGAAGUUUUUUACAUAAAAAGGAAAUCUUUAGAUGUUAAUGAGGAUGAAGGCACUUCUUUUGCUCAAUAUUACUAAAUUUAAGCUUCAGAUGUCAAUGAGAAUGUCAAUGGGCUUUUUUCUACAGAUGUCAUGGUAGCAUCUUUAGUUAGUAUUAUUUGCUGCCCAAUUAUAGAAGACCCAAGAAGCUGGAUGGGCUUGAGAUGCAUGGAGUGGUAGUUGAGUGAUUUAUCUUAAUGUUCUUGAUUCAACUUUUUGCCUGUAAUAUAGCAAUGACAUUUCCCUAAGAAUAAAGUCAUCUCCAAAGAAUCUUUGCACAAAUACACAAUGAUCAUAAGUUGUCUUGUUGUAUCCUUGCUUCUCCAUAAUUGACUCAAACUUCUUGUAUCAUUGCCUAGGUGCCUGUUUCAUGCCAUAAAGACUUUUCUUCAAUCUAUAAAAAUAAUCUUCUUGUCCUUUUACUUUGAAUCCCUUUGAAGGCUCCAUGUAUAUCUCUUUCUCCAAGUCACCAUGGAGGAAAGCAAUUUUCAUAUCCAUUUGUUUAAUCUCUAAGUCAAGACUAGCUGCAAGACCAAACACUACACAAAUGGAUGACAUUUUCACAAUUGGAACAAAGAUUUCUUCAAAGUCAAUGCCUUUCUUCUAGCUAAAUCCCUUGACAACUAGUCUAGCCUUGUAUCUUGGGUAUGAAGUGUGUUCUUCUUGCUUCACCCUGUACACCCAUUUGUUUUCCAAGGCUCAUUUUUCCUUUGUGCAGCUUCAUUAACUCAAAAGUGUGAUUAGCAUGCAAGGACUUCAUCUCAUCUUGUAUAGCCUCAAUCCACUCUCUCUUCUACUUACUCUCUAUAGUUUCUUCAAAGCUCUUAGGUUCUUCCCCAUCAAUGAAUAUGACAUACUCUUUUAGGGAGCAUCUUGUGGAAGACUGACGAUUCCUGGUAGACCGUCUAGAUGAGACUAUAGGAGUAGCUUGUGGUACUUGUGGCUAGUCAAUAACUUCAGAAUUUAUAACCUCUAUAGGUUCUAAAUCAUCACUUGCACCAUGUGGUCAUUUUGUGUCUCAACAUCAAGUUGAUUUGCCAUUGGUGUUAAAGAAAUUAUUUCCAAGUCAAUCAACUUGUCACUACUAUCAAAUUUUGCUUUCUCCACUUCAUCAAGGUCUAUUAUUGUCUAGUCUUCCAUAAAUACAAUGUCUCGACUUCUAAUCAACUUAUUCUCAACUGGAUUAUACAAUCUGAACCCAAAUUCAUUUUGGCCAUAACCCACAAAUACACACUAGCGUGUCUUCACAUCAAGCUUGGACCUUUCAUCUUUAGGAAUGUGCAUAAAGGCCUUACAUCCAAAGACUUGCAAAUGAUCAUAGGAAACAUCUUUGCCUAUCCAAACUCUAUCUAGCACAUCAAACAACAAAAGAAUAGAAGGUGAGAAAUUCAACACAUGAACCACUAUAUUUAAAGCCUCACCCUAGAAAGAUUUAGGCAACCUUGCUUGUGAAAGCAAACAUAUCACUCUCUCAACCAAUGUUCUAUACAUCCUUUUAGCCAAACCAUUCAAUUGCGGUAUCUGUUAGCCUAAGGGCUCCUAAUCGGGUUUUGAUGAUAACAAACCAUGGUUAAGUGACUAAUUGGUUUAAUGAUUAAGAAUCUUAGGCAUAAACUCGAAAAUUCAUCAAAUGACCAAAUGGAUACAAGAUCGAGACGCUUGGAAGACUUGUGAUCAUAGGAAACAAAUGUAAGAUGAAUGCAUGAGUGCACUUAGGAUUUUCACACGUUUCAUGCAACUUAGAAAACUCGGUUUAUUCUUUAAAACUUUGAUUUCAUUAAAACCCGAGUUUUUAACUAAUGUACCUUAGGCAAAAUGUUUUAUAAUUGGUUUAAUAAUUCACCUAUUGACCUUGCCUAAGUGUUAGAAAAGAAAGAAAAUAAAAAAAAUAGGUUUUCGAGGCCAAAAAGGCUCAACUGGUCGAGGCUAUGGCCAAUCGGCUCAACCGGUUAAGGAACCGCUCGACUGGUUGUGCUCGUCCGGUUGAGGGAUGCGAAAAACUUUCUCUCUCUCCCAGUGGCCUUCUCUUUCUAGUCGAAGUGAUUCUCUUCCCGAUCGAUGUCCGAUCGAGGAUCGGUCGAGGUUCGGUCGAGGCAACGGUAACCUAUCAAGCAUUAAAUUCUCCAACGGCUAGUGAACCAGUCGACCCCUAGCUCGACCGGACGAGGUUACCUUUUGCUGUUUUUGACUCCUGAGCUUAGAAACCUAUAAAUUGAGAGCUCCACUUCAUUUAUUGAUAAGAGAACACUUGCAUUCAAUAGUCUACCUACUUGUUCUUGAUCAAAAAGUUCUCAUUUCUUUCAUAGUGCAUUAAAUCACCACUUGCAUAUCCUUUAGUGCACUCUUGUGUGUCAUCCUAGCUUUGUCUUAUAUUUAAGCUAUCCUUAAGCUAGGUUGAGGGAUUAUUUCUUGUAAAAAUCUGGGUGUUAAAGCCUUCAAGAGGUUUGAAUCUUGAAGAGAUUGUGUAAGAGCCCAUUGAAGCCGGAAUCCAAGUGUAAGAAGAUUGGAAGCUUGGUUGAAGCUUCAAGUUAGUGGAACCCACACUUAGUUAGGAGAUUGAGGAGAGUGGAUGUAGGCAAGGAAGUGCCGAACCACUAUAAACUCGAGUUUGAAUUCUCUAGCUCUAUCUUUUUAUUUUGCUUAUAUUGUGUUUGAAUUUGUUGUGAUUGAAAAGUUUUUAAAAACCCAAUUCACUCCCCCCCCCCCCUCCCCCCUCUCCCCUCUCCCUUUUGGGUGCUUUUCUUAAUUAAGCAUAGCCUUUGUUUUCUCAAUUGGAAUUAGAGCUAGACCUCUUGUUUUUUAAAGACUUAAUCAUCUAAGAGGAAAUGGCUAUUCCAUCAAGCUCAUCCCAAGCUGAAAAUUUUUCAAAACAUAGAGCUCCAUUCUUUACGGGAACCGACUAUCCCUAUUGGAAAACUAGAAUGACUUGGUAUUUGCAAUCUACAAAUUUAGAUGUAUGGGAUGUCAUUGAAGAUGACCCAACUUUUCCCACUAAAUUAGUUGAUGGAGUUUUGGUUCCAAAACCCGAGUAAGAAUGGAAUGAGCUUGAUAGAAGAAACUUUCAAUUAAAUGUUAAAGCCGUUUUUACUUUGCAAUGUGCUAUGGAGGUUGCUUGAAAUAACUCAUGAAGGAACUAAUCAAGUGAAAGAGUCAAAAAUUAAUUUACUUGUUCAUAAGUAUGAAUUGUUUUUAAUGAAAGAAAAUGAGACUACUAUUGAGAUGAUUACUAGGUUCACUGACAUUGUCAAUGGUCUUGAAACUUUUGGAAAAACCUGCAAGGAAUCCGAGAAGGUGAUGAAGAUAUUGAGGUCUCUCCCAUCAAAGUGGCAUACCAAGGUCACCACAAUUCAAGAAGCAAAAGAUUUGACUAAGCUACCUAUGAAAGAGCUCAUAGGGUCAUUAAUGACAUAUGAGAUCAAUUUGACAAAUAAGCUACAAGAGGGUGAAGAUAAAAAGAAGAAGAUCAUAGCCCUCAAAGCUACAACCAAGGAAGAAGAAGAUGUUGAAGAAGAAAAACCAAGUGAUGAAGAUGAUGAUUUAGCCCUCAUCACAAGAAACCUCAACAAAUACAUGAGAUGUGAAAGGUUUCGAGGAAGGAAGUUCACCUCUAAAAGAGAUCCUCCUAAAAAGGAAUCAUCCCAUGGUGAAAAGGAGAAAUGAGAAGAGAAAAGAGAUUUGAUAUGCUUCAAGUGCAAAAAACCGGGACACAUUAAAUAUGAUUGUCCUCUAUACAAAAGUGAAGCCAAGAGAAGAAUGAAAAAGGCAAUGAUGGCCACUUGGAGUGAAAGUGAAGAAUCCUCCGAAGAAGAAAAGGAGAAGGAAGUGGCAAACAUGUGCUUCAUGGCAAUAGAUGAUCUUGAUGAGGUAAACUCUAAUUUUAUUGAUGAAGAUAUGCAUGAUGUUUUUGAAGAAUUAUAUGAGGAUUUUGAAAAACUUAGUUUGAAAAAUAAUUCUCUUAAAAAGAAGAUUCAAGAACUUGAAGAAGUCAAAGAAAAAAUUUCAAUUAUUGAAAUAUCUAAAACUCAUCUUGAAAAAGAAAAUGAGAUUUUGAGAAGUGAAAAUGAGAUUUUGAAAAAGAAAAAUGAAUGGUUGACCUCAUUUCUUUCAAUUUUCUCUUGUGGACAAAAAUAUUUUGAAAUGAUCUUAGCUAGCCAAAAAUGUGUCUUUGAUAAACAAGGGUUAGGAUUCAAAUCUUCAAAAAAUCAAAAGUAUUUUAAAAACUACUUUGUAAAAGAAUCCACAAGUGCAAGUCCUUCUACCAUUUGCAACUUUUGUGGAAGAGGAUGACACAUUAGUAGUACAUGUCCCCUAAGAAAUGGUUCUUAAAAGAAUUCAAAUGCCAAGCUAAAAAGGUUUGGGUUGAAAAAUCCAAAAUCACUAACCCUCAAGGACCCAAAAAAAUAUGGGUACCUAAAUCAAUUUAAAUUUUGUUUUGUAGGGUUUAAAAAAGGAUAAAUGGUUCUUGGAUAGUGGAUGCUCAAGACACAUGACCGGGGAUGAAUCCAAGUUUGCCUUCCUUACAAAGAGAAAGGGAGGAUACGUUACCUUUGGAGACAAUGCAAAAGGAAGGAUCAUUGGUCAAGGUAACAUUGGUAAUGGCACAUCCUCUCUUAUUGAAAGUGUUUUAUUAGUGGAUGGUUUAAAACAUAAUCUCUUGAGCAUAAGUCAACUUUGUGACAUAGGUUUUAAAGUGAUUUUUGAAGCAUCUCAUUGCAUCAUCAAAGAUAUUCAAAAUGAUAAAACCAUCUUCAUGGGCCAUAGGUGUGACAAUGUUUAUGCUAUAAAUAUUUCAAAAUAUGAUGGCCAUGAUAGAUGCUUUUCAAGCAUGCAUGAUCAAAGUUGGUUGUGACAUAGGAGGUUGGGACAUGCUAACAUGGACUUCAUUUCCCAACUCAACAAAGAUGAACUUGUUAGAGGCCUUCCCAAAAUAAAUUUUCAAAAAUACAAAGCUUGUGAAUCUUGUCAAAUGGGAAAGCAAAUAAAAAACUCUUUUAAAAACAAAAAUUUCAUUUCAACAUCUAGGCCUUUUGAAUUGUUGCAUAUGGAUUUAUUUGGUCCCUCUAGGACACCAAGCCUUGGAGGAAAAUCUUAUGCUUUUGUUAUUGUGGAUGACUUCUCUAGAUACACUUGGGUUUUAUUUUUAAGUCAAAAGAAUGAAGCCUUUUAUGAGUUUUCAAAGUUUUGCAACAAGGUUCAAAAUGAAAAAUGUUUUACAAUUACUUGUAUAAGAAGUGAUCAUAGGAGAGAAUUUGAAAAUAUUGAUUUUGAAGACUAUUGCAAUGAGCAUGGUAUUAACCAUAAUUUUUCGGCUCUUAGAACUCUUCAACAAAAUAGGGUAGUUGAAAGGAAAAAUAGAACUCUUCAAGAGAUGGCUAGAACCAUGCUUAAUGAAAACAAUUUACCAAAAUACUUUUGGGCCGAAGCGGUUAACACUUCUUGUUAUGUUUUAAAUAGAAUUUUAUUAAGGCCUAUUCUUAAGAAAACUCCCUAUGAGCUUUGGAAAAACAAAAAACCCAACAUUAGCUAUUUCAAAGUCUUUAGGUGCAAAUGCUUUAUAUUAAACACCAAAGACAAUCUUGGAAAAUUUGAUGCAAAAUCGGAUGUUGGAAUUUUUCUUGGUUACUCAACUUCAAAUAAAGCCUUUAGAGUUUUUAACAAAAGAACCAUGGUUGUUGAGGGGUCCAUCCAUGUUAUUUUUUUAUGAAUCUAACAAUUCUCUCCAAAAAAAGAGAGAGCUUUGAUGAUGAUUUAGGCUUGGAGACCUCCAUGGGAAAAUUACAAAUUGAAGAUAGAAGGCAACAAGAAGGAAUUGUUGAGGAUCCCAAGAAAGAAGAAUCACCUUUAGCACUACCCCAUCCUCAACAAGUGCAAGGUGAAUCAAGCCAAGACCUUCCUAAAGAUUGGAAGUUUGUCAUUAACCACCCACAAGAUCAAAUUAUAGCUAAUCCAUCUAGUGGGGUAAGAACUAGAUCAUCUCUUAGAAAUAUUUGCAAUAAUCUUGCUUUUAUCUCUCAAAUUGAAUAUAAAAAUAUAAAAGAUGCUCUAGUUGAUGAAAAUUGGAUGAUUGCUAUGCAAGAAGAGUUAAACCAAUUUGAAAGAAGUGAAGUAUGGGAAUUAGUGUCAAGACCUCAAAAUCAAAGUGUUAUUGGAACUAGAUGGGUCUUUAGAAAUAAAAUGGAUGAAAUGGCAUAAUUAUAAGGAAUAAAACAAGAUUGGUAGCCCAAGGUUUUAAUAAAGAAGAAGGGAUAGAUUAUGAAGAAACCUUUGCUCCCGUAGCUAGAUUGGAAGCCAUUAGGAUGCUACUUGCCUUUGCAUGUUUUAAAGACUUUGUUUUAUAUCAAAUGGAUGUGAAAAGUGUUUUCUUAAAUGGCUUUAUAAAUGAAGAGGUAUAUGUUGAACAACCACCCGGCUUUCAAAGUUUUAACUUUCCUAAUCAUGUCUUUAAACUUAAAAAGAUACUUUAUGGUUUGAAACAAGCACCUAGAGCAUGGUAUGAAAGAUUGAGUAAAUUUCUUAUGAAAAAGGAUUUUAAAAUGGAAAAAAUUGAUACAACUCUUUUCAUAAAAACCAAAUAAAAUGACAUGCUCUUAGUGCAAAUAUACGUUGAUGAUAUCAUUUUUGGAGCUACUAAUGUCUCUCUUUGUGAAGAAUUUUCUAAAUGCAUGCAUAGUGAGUUCGAAAUGAGCAUGAUGGGAGAACUUAACUUCUUCCUUAGACUUCAUAUCAAGCAACUAAAGGAAGGAACCUUCAUCAAUCAAGCAAAGUAUAUAAGAGAUCUCCUCAAAAGGUUCAAUAUGGAGGAAGCCAAAACAAUGAAGACUCCAAUGAGUUCAUCCAUCAAGCUUGACAUGGAUGAGAAAGGUAAGUCCCUCAACUCAACUAUGUAUAGAGGCAUGAUAGGUUCUUUGCUAUAUUUGACUGCUAGUAGACCCGACAUCAUGUAUAGUGUAUGCUUAUGUGCUAGAUUUCAAUCUUGUCCUAAAGAAUCCCACUUAAGUGUUGUAAAACGAAUCCUUAGAUACUUGAAACGGACAAUGGACAUAGGUUUGUGGUAUCCUAAGAGUGAUAACUUUGAAUUAAUUGGAUUCUCGGAUACCGACUUUGCCGGUUGUAAAGUUGAAAGGAAAAGCACUAGUGACACUUGUCAUUUCCUAGGACACUCACUUGUUUCAUGGUAUAGUAAGAAAUGAAUUUUGGUAGCUUUAUCAACGGCGGAAGCCGAAUACAUAGCAGCCGGUUUAUGUUGUGCACAAAUUCUUUGGAUGAAACAAACACUUAGUGAUUUCAAUUUGAUUUUUGAGCAUGUUCCUAUUAAAUGUGAUAACACUAGUGCCAUAAACAUUUCAAAAAAUUCAGUGCAACACUCUAGGACUAAGAAUAUAGAGAUAAGACACCAUUUUCUUAGAGACCAUACACAAAAGGGUGACAUUACACUUGAAUUUGUAAGCACAAAAGAUCAACUUACUGAUAUUUUUACAAAACCUCUAAGUGAAAAACAAUUUGUUGAUAUUAGAAGACAACUAGGGGUGAUUUCUUUAUGAUCAAAUGAUUGCUUGAUGAAUUCUUGAUUGAAUAUACCUUAUGAUUACGUGAAUUUCAUAUCAUAUAGAAAUAAUCUUAGGAAAAAGGUCAAAUUUUGACCAAAAAUCAAAAUUCCCUUGGCAUUGGACAUAAAAAAUUGGGGAUUUCAAUUGAAAAGGGUAGGGGGAGGAUCACAAGACAAGAAAAUACCAAAAAAUUGGAGCAUUGACCGUUGACCAUUGACCAAGCGGUUCGUCGAGGUUGGGAAUUUAAAAAGGCCCCCUGCGCUUCAUUUUUCACAUGUUAUCCUCCAUACCUUGAAGACUCUUCACAUCCAUGCUUCUAGAAGUCAAUUUUGGCAAGAUCUUGGACUGUUUGCAGGCUUUGGAGUGGAUUUUGAGACGUUUUGAGGCUAGGGUUUUGAUUUGAAACCCAGAGUUUCAGUUUUUGGGGGUGAUUUCUCUCUAUACCACGAACCUCAGGCUUGGUUCAACUUCUUCUCCGUGCGCCUAGGGCUUUAGGUUGGUGUUUUCUCUCUCUUGUUUGAUUUCCUUCUCCUUUUGGACUUCUCCUUCUCCCUAUUCCAUUCGUUGGAUGGCUCCUAGGCGAGAGACGGGCACCUCUAGGGCUCAAGGCAAGCGCCCUACUGAGCCAUCUCAGCCUGAGCAGACGGAGGCUCACCGAAAGGCGAGGUAUGAUACGACCCUCUUCAGUUCCGUUGAAGAUCUUAAUUAAGCAUAGCCUUUGUUUUCUCAGUAUCUUUGGAGGAGUCUUUUGAUGGCGGAUACCUUGCUAUUUGUGGUACUCAUCAAAUGACCUUGAAUAUUCUCCUCUAUUAUCAGUUCAGAUACAUUUAAGUUUUCUUCUAGUUUAUCUCUCAAUUGAAGCCUGAAAUUACUUGAACACACCCGAUACCUUAUCUUUAUGCUCAAUGUGUAUGCACAAAUCUUCUUUGAAUGAUCAUCAAUAAAAGUCACGAAGUAUAGUGAACCACCAAGGGUUUUUACCUUCAUUGGACCAUAUAAACUAGAAUGGACUAAGUCAAGCAAAUUCUCAUUUCUUGAAGAAGAAGGGCGUGUCUUGAACGCAACUCUAUUUUGCUUUCCUACCAAGCAAUGAGCACACUUUUGUAGACAUGUGUUUGUCAUCCCAAACAAGUGAUUUUUUCGGAAUAGUACCAUCAUUCAUUUCUCACCCAUGUGACCGAGUCUCUAGUACCACAACUCAAUUGUAUCCACAUUUUCAAUAGCAUGAAUGACAUCUUUAGAAAGUCCAACUUGCAUUAUGUACAAAUUAUGAUUCCUUUUACAUCUUGUUAUGACCAAAGAACCCUUAGUAAGCUUCCAUUGACCAUUACCAAGACCACUAUAGUAGCCACCAUCAUCAAGCUUGCUAGUAGAGGUAAGGUUCAACCAAAUGUCUGGAACAUGCUUUACACCUUUGAAAAGCAGUUUCAUACCAUUACGGGUUUCUAAUAAAAAAUUACCUAUGUCAAUAACCUUAGCCACACCAUUGUUGCCCAUCCUUACAACUCCAAAGUCAGAUGUGUAAAAAUCCCUACAAAAUGUAACAUGAAUAGUAGCACCACUAUCAAUUACCCAACUAGUCUCAUCAAAUGCUGAAUUGAUCAUAUCAUCAUCAUACAUUAGUAAAAAGUCUUCUAUAGUGGUGGCAACUCAAUCUUCAUCACUGCUCUUAUUGCCUUUUUCUUUCCUGUUGUUCUUCUUAUUUUCUUUCUUCAACUUUCUACAAUGUUUCUUGAUAUUCCCCUUCUUACCACAAUGGUAACACUCAACAUUAGCAAAUUUGCCUUUGGACUUAUUUCUACUACUUUCCCUGUUUUUCGGAAUCCUACUCUUGUUUCCCCCUCAUGGCUCAGUAACUAUCAUAUCUGACUAUGAGGAGGAACGAUGUGACUUUUUUCUCAUCUUUUCAUUUAGAACAUUGCUCUUAGCAAUUUCCAUUGUAAUCUCACCAUCUAGAGUUGAAUUAGACAAUGACAUUUUAAAUGUCUCCCAAUAAUCUGACAAAGUGCCCAAAAGCCAUAAACCCUAUACCUCUUCAUCAAAUUUUACCCCCAUUACAUCCAACUAAUUUAUCAAACCUUGGAAUGAAUUCAAGUUAUUGGUCAUAGGAGUAUCCUCACGAUAUCUCAAAAGAAUAAAAUAUUUCAUCAAAUACAUUUUGUUGUUUCUGGUCUUUUGAGCAUACAACUUUUCAAGUUUGAUCCACAAUGUACAUGCAUUCUUCUCACCACUAACAUGGUUUAACACACUGUCAUCUACCCAUUGUCGAAUAUACCAACACACCUGCCUAUAAAGUAAUGUACAUUCCUCAUCAGUUUUGCCAGUGGGUUUUCCUUGGACAAACAUAGGGUGAUGGUAACCCUUCUCAUAUAAUAAAUCCUCCAUUUUAUCCUUUCACAAGGCAUAAUUUGAGCCAUUUAAGCUUACCAUUCUGUUUGCACUAACAUCCAUUCUUCAACACAACACAGGCAGCCAAAGCUCUAAUACCACUUUGUUGGGAGAAAGUUGAACACAGUAUCACAAUUAAAAUCAACCAUGCAUGCACUGGAAUUUUAAUGUGGAAAACAUCUUCAAUGUGAGAAGUAAAAACCACAGGACCAGAGUCCACUCAGAAAGGGUUCACUAUCAACCUAAGUGAGAGUACACAAUUUGUCCCAACAUUAAUUGGGGACUAUCAAUAGCAACAACCAUCAAGAAAAAUCUUAGCUUCACAAGCAUAAACACCAAAUAUUAAAAGAAUAAUAGAAAAAGAUCACAAAUUUGGUGUUCUGUCCGAAUAUACUAAUCUGUCCUGAAAACUCCAAUCAACGAUCCAAUCGUUAAAAUUUAAUUACCAUAAGUUUUGAACCUCCUAUUAAAAUUUCACUUCAAUCAGACCAAAGAUCAAAGAAAUACCACUCUUUGAUGAAGACUGCAUAGAACCGAGAUUUUCUCCUCUCAUUUUCUGUCCUGUUUUAUUUGAAUGAUUAUAUAUUAUAGUCAACUACUCUGAUCGACGAGCGAACCGACCAGAAUUAAGAGACAUAAGAGACGAAGAUACUAUACAAAUUUCAACACGAUCCAACGGUGUAAAAUAGAGAUCAAGAAGAUUGAUUAAAAUUGCUCUAAAAUGAUUCUAUUUAUGACCAACUCUGUUUAGGCGGCUAUAGAGUGAAAUAGAAAAGUUCAACUAGAAUAAGGAGUUGCUUGUGAUAAACCAACUGACCAAGUUUCAGUUUAAACAAGCCUUAGACCAUCAAGAUCUAUUACUUGGAUGAAAAUAGCUCUUUCACCUCUUCAAUUUCUUAUUAUUUUUUUUUCUCUCUCAAAAUCAUCAGUUGCACUCUUCUCACUGUAUAUUUCAAGAAGUGAAUCUUUUUUGGGGUUUUCAAAAAAACCUUACACCGAAAGACAAAAAUGCCCAUAUAAUAUGGGAUUUGUUGGGUUUGACAUAUAUGGGUCAUCCUCCACAUGAGAGGGAAACCCAACCCAACAAUAGUUUAGUACCUCCUAAUUGGAAGGAUGACUUGUUUUUGUCAUCACGAUGAGUUUUCCAUGGUGAGUGCACUAAUGUAUAUGGUUACACAUUGGACAGGACCUAUGAUGAGUCAUGAUAUUGGCUAUCAAGUAGUCAUCAUCUUAUAAAGCUACUAUAUUGUAUGAGCUCUCAACCUUGAGAAGAUAUUAAGCUAGUAGUAAAAUUUUUAAUGACUUUAACAUAUAGGUAAGAUCCUAAAGUGGUAAUAUAUUCCCUAUGGAUUGAGAUAUUAUUGAUAGAGGUUGGUGAUAACAUGUAUACUCAAGAUAGACACCAUGAUAUCUCCUAGGUUUUAGAUAAUAUAUCCAUUUGAGUGAUCCUAAGGACAUGUGAUUAGGAAAUCCGUGGUCAUAGUAAUUCUUUAAUUGGAAUUUGACAUAUGCUUCUUAUGAAAUAAAGUAUGUCGAUUUAUCACAUAAGAAGAGGAUUAGAGACUCAAGGACUCUAAAGGAAAUUUUAUAAGGUAGAUAACAUUCACUUUAUUAGACUACGAUCAAUAGCUUAUGAGAAGUUUGCAUAUAGUAGACAAUGGAUCAUAGACUAGAGGUUUGUAUCUCAUAGUUAUAAUAUCAUACGAUAAUGGAGUAUAGUUAACUCUAUGUAGUAGGAUAUUAAGUCAAUUUUAGAAUUGAAAUAUGAGGUAGCCAGUAUUUUCUUAUGAGUCUUAGUGGUCCUCACUUAAAAUCAUAUUCCAUGGUGGCAUGAUUUUUUUAAGAGAUUAUGAGUUUUAUAUUCAUAUGUAUGCAUACAGACAUUUUGGUAGACACGAAACGUUGCACAAGAGUUUAUGAAUGUUUUUGGGUUGAGUUAAUUAAUUAAUUAGAACCCAAUUAAGUUAGUUAAUUAGGACUCAUUGGGCUAAAUUAAGUGACCCAACUCAAUUCACUUAAACUUAGAAGUAAUUCUAUAUAAACCUCCUUAAGUUUUAGGGCUUAUAUUUUGAUUCAUUCUAUCUUUCAGAAUGAGAGAAUCCCAUUCUUCAUUCCCAAGUGAGAAUUCCAUCAUUUUUAAGUGACAAGGUCUAGGAAAGAGCUAUUGGGUGGAAGAUCAUGAGGUUUUCGAGAUCCAUACCAUCAUUUUCUUUGAUUGGAACUAAUCUAGGCACAUCUAUUAGUUUAUUGGCCAUUGAAUCAACAAAGGACUAUAAUGCAAAAUUGUUUCAUGCAGUACCUUAAAAUAAUUAUGAAGGGCUGUAAAAAAAUUGAACCAAUGGUUGUUACUUUCUACAAACAAUAUAAGGCGUAAAAACCUAAAGCUUAGUUGAUUUUGUGAGAGCCAACUAGUCCAAAAGAUCAGUUAUAGCGGAAUAGAACUCUUGAAUACUCAUGUUCUUAUGUUCAAGAGCUCAAAUAUCAAUCUUUAAAUAAUAUUGAUUUGCAAAUGUUGCUAGAUCUUGUUGACAAAUUCAUACUUUGCCAACUACGUACUUAUCAAAUUCUCAAUAAAUUUGUUGAUCCAAUUGAUAAUUUUUGAAUUGUUUACUGCUCAAAUGUUUAACUGUUCUAUAUAUUUUUCAUCAUCUCCAUUUCUAGGUUUGUGUAGAGUUAACCCCACAUCUUUUUUACCUUUGAAAAAUUUCCCAUUGCAUAACUCCAAUGUUAGGAUAGAGCCCUUAAAAGCAUAGUAUGAUAUAACAAAUUCAAAUUUAUUAUUCAUUUAAUAAAAUUUUAGUUUCCUAUUUCUAUCUAUCUUAUUACAUGCAUUAUAACUUAUAACCAUUUUAGCCUAACAUUUUUUGCAUUGUACAUACUUUGGGUGCAUUAGGAGUUACACAGAAGAUCCAAGUCAUGAGUUGCUUGCAAGUAGAUGAUUUGUUCACAACUAGUUCAUAGAAUUAGGUAAUUCAUUGAAAGUUGUAGUACACUACCUACUAAUGGAAUGGAUGACUAGUCUUGGUCAUUUGGGAUGAGUUUCCCAUGUUAAGUCCAUUAGUUUGUACAAUUCAACAUUAAAUAAGGCCCAUAGUGAGUUAUGAUGUAAAGUUAUUGAGUAGUCAUGACCUCACCAAGCUGCUAUACUAUAUGGUCUUUUAACCUCGAGAGAAUAUUUAGUUUGUGCCAAAGUUUAUAAUAGCUUUGACCUAUAAGUGAGAUCCUAAGAUGGUCAUAUAUUCCCUAUAAAUUAGGUCAUUAUUGAUGGAGGCUAGUGACGGCCGGUAUUCUCAAUAGAGAUACCAUGAUAUCUUAUGGAGAUUGAGACAAUAUGUCCCAUUAGGUGAGCCUAAGGAAGUCUUGAUAAGGAAAUUAAUGGUCAUAAUAGUUUUUUAAAUUAGAACUUGACAUAUGCUCUUUAUGAGAUAAGAUAUGUCACUUCAUCUCAAAAUAAGAGAAUCUGAGACUCAAGAAUCAUAAAGGUAAUCUUGAAAGGUUGAUAACAUUCAUCUUGUUAGAUUAUGGACACUAUUUCAUGGGGAACUUGCAUACAAUGGAUAGUAGGUGUUAAUGGAAACCCUAGAUUUCUUCGUUCGUAAACCCUAGAUCGUAUAGGUAUAUGCAAAUCUACCUAGGCUUCUCUAGAAACUAACAUAAGUGGAAACAUGGCUUUUAAAAACCAUUUAGAUUAAUAAAACUAGAGAAGAAUGAAUUAUACCUAGAUUUAGAUGUUCCUAGAUCAAUUCAUUGCGAUGAAGAUGUUUCAAUGUUCUAGAGGUCUUGUACACCCAAAGUCUUCUGUCUAAUUACUCAAUCCAUGACCUUGGCACUCUAAAGAGUGGACUUUGAAAAAGAGAUGCCUUGGCUCUCUCUCUUUCUCUCUAUUUCUCUCUGGAAGUGGAAGACGACAAGCAAAAGCCUUAGAAACCCUAACCCCUAAGGGGAUAUGUAUAGGGUUCCCCUACUAGGCUUAAGUGACUUGAGCCUACCAAGGAUUAGGUCACUUAAUCUAGCCCAAAAUAGAUCUUGAUUUAUUAAUCAACCACACAGGGUCAUCUAAUUAAUCAAUUAGCUCAAUGAAGAGAACUUGUUCUCUAUUCCCCUAUGCAACCUUGCGUGAUUGCUAAAACACCUUUAUACACAUCUAAUCCUUAGAAAUCGUGUCAUCAUGGUAUAUGAGCUCAAAGUGAGGACUACUGGGACAAAUAGGCAUACUAACUCUCUCAAAAUCGAAUUCCAAAGUUGAUUCACUAUCCCACUAUAGAAAAUCAAUUGCACUCCAGUACCUUAUGUAGAUAACAAUAAGAUGAAGUUUGGGUCUGUGACCUACUAUCUACUACAUGCAAUCUCUUCAUGAAUUGGUGUCCAUAAUCUAACAAGGUGGUGUUAUCACAUAAUGUAUGAUAAGAAAUAUGAAUUUGUUACAUUAGAUAAUAACAUAAUGUAUCCUGGUAGGAAAUAUGAAUUUUAAAAAUGCAUCCUCUAUAUUAAGGUAAAGUUAAUUUUUUUAAACAUAAAAUAAUAUAUUUAUAACAAAGUUAGUAAUAUGGAUGAGAUAUAAAUUAGUAUUGGUAUCAAGUAUUUCAAUAUGUAAACCUAAAACAUAUUACAUUUAUAAUAUUAUUGAAAUUUUACCCAUAAUAUAUCUUUAUUAAAAAAGUCAAUCUAAAAUUUUUCAAAUUUUUAUUACUCAACUAUAUCCAUAUAAUUUUCUAUUAGAAUCAUCUAAAAUUUCUUUAAUAUCUUUAUAUUCAUUUACUUGAAAAAUGAAAAAUAACCAAUAAAAUUGUUCAUUUUAUUAAGAUAUUUUUAUUAAAUUUUGUUAAAAAAAAAAUAAAUCAUUCAAAAUUUUAAAUAAGAUUUCAUGUGAAAUAUUUUAUUUGAAAGUUUAUUUGGUUUCAUUAACAAAUUUAUUUGAUAUUUUUUUUAUUGUAAAUAUAUUAAAUUAUUAAAAUUAUAGUAUUUGUCCUAUAAAAUUAGGGUUGCAAUUUGGACGAGCUAACCCAAACCAACAUAAAACCAACCCAAUGUUUGGGCGGGCUUGGGCACCAUUUUUUGUAACUUGGGUUGGGCUUGGAUUCAUUUUUAUCAACCCAAAUUAAAUUCGGGUUGGGCUUGGUCAGAUGACUUGGGCAACCCAAACUAACCCGAACCUGACUAUAUAUAUAACUUUAAGAAAAUAAUACAUUGGUUCUUUCCAUUCUAUUCUUUGAUAGAGAAAAAACCUUCAAGCCCUAGUCCAAGGUUCUUCCAUUAUUCGAUAUUGUUCAAAUCCUCAAGCCCUAGUUCAAGAUUCUUUCAUUUUUUGAUGUUGUUGUCUCCAUUCAAGGUCAUCUGACAGAAAGCAAAAACCAUCAGGCCUUAGGUUAAGAUUCUUCAUCAUCAUAUAAUGUUACAAUCGUCGUUCAAUACCACUGUUGUUCACAUUAUAUUACUAGGUUUUUGAUUGCCAACAAUUUAGUUAAUAAAUCAUGGAAAUAAUGGAAAAGGUUGAUUUGAAAAUAAUUCUAAGAUAUCCCUUUUUGGUUUUAAAUUUAUCUUCCUUGAGUGAUGAAUAAAGAGGACAAGGCAAGUUAUUUAAGGCAAUGGUGAAGCCCUUAUCCUUUAUAUGGAAGAAGUGUAGAAUUGUUACCUAUACAUAAAUUAUAUUAUAAUGGUCUACUGUAAUAUGCUUGGCUUAGCAUCCCUCAUCAGGGGCAUGCCAUGGGAGAAAAGUCUUCCUUUUGUAAAAGAAGGGUUGUGCAAUAAAUGAAUGUUGUGUGUUUGCUUUUUGAACUAAUUUUUAUUGGCCUAACUCAACCCAACUUAGCCAUCACAUAAUCAACUCGAGCUCAACCUAUGUUAAAUAAUUUCAAUUCGAGUUGAGUGCAUAAGAUUGGAAGUCGAGUUAGGUGAUCCUUUGGGUUGAUGUAUUUCAAGGUAAGAUUGAGCUUGGGUUGGCCAACUUGCCGAGUUGCAACCCCAUAUAAAAUUAAUUUUUCUUUAACAUUUAUAUUUUAUGAAAUAUUAAAAAUUAUAUAUUUUAUUAAUUGUUUUCCAAAAAUCGCAAUUUUGGUGAUUUAGGUCUUGUUUGGUAAUUGUUUUUGAAAACAUUUUUGAAAAAAUAGUUUUUAAGAACAGUUUUUGAAAACUGUUCUCUGAUGUUUUUUAGAACAAAAGUCUAUUUGGGAACCUAAAAUUAUUUUUAAUAUUUUUAAAUACGUUUUAAAAAUAAUUUUUAUAUCCAUAACUUUAUUUUUAUUAAUCAUUAUAUAUAUAUUUGUAUAAUUAUUCUUUAAAAUAACUCUCAAAAAAUAAGUGAAAACAACUUAAAACAAUUAAAAUAUAUUAUUUGAAAACACCCUGUUUUCUAUUUUUUAAUAAUAUAAAACAGAAAACAGUUUUUAAUUGUUAAACGUGUUUUUAAGUUUUUUUUUUCUAAAAAACAAAAAACUGUUUUUGAAAACAGUUUCCAAACAUAGCAUUAAUGCAAAGCCAGCCAAUUUUUUGUGCUGCCAACCAUACUGGAAACCCAUCUUGUUGGCCACCCAGAGGAGCUCAGUUUUUUUUAUUUUUAUUUGUUAGAGGAGUGGGGGACGAUUUCUAUGAACGAGCUACAUGGGACAUGUGGAAAAAAAAAAAAAAAGAUGGCCACCUUGCCAUGGUGGUGGUUGAAGAUGGAGACUUGCUAAGCGGUGAACAGUGGAACGAGUAGAAGCUUAUAAGAGAAAAAAAAAAACAGAGCAAAGGGACUGGGAGGGUUGAGUUGUGGGUGAGCUGAUUCAAGAGGAAGGAAAAAAAAUGAAGCUGAAACAAAGGGAGGUUUUUAAGAGAAAGUGAAAACAACGAGUUAAUUUGGAAACAACUAGGAUGAGAGUUGUAGGUCGGCUGAUUAGAGGAGGUUUUCAGCAAGAGCUAAAGAAGAGGACCUUUAAACUCUACCGGAAAAGUUCUCUCGUCUCACCGGUGACUACGGAUCUGGAAAACUAAAAUGCGCAGGUGGUGGCGUUGCUCCCCCUACUAUACUUACGGAUUUUAAGCUCAAUGGCUACGGAAACCUCGAUUUCUACAACGUGUGCUUGGUUGACGGGUAAAACCUUCCUUUGAUGGUGGUGCCACAGGAUGGCACCGGGGGGAACUGUACCAAAAUCGGGUGCUGCUCUAGACUUGGGAAAUGAACAGGUUUGUUCGUUUGUCUCGUUACAACUUCUUUCUGAAUCUUUCUUUGAUUAAGACAAGUAUGUUUUUCCAAGUUUUGGUUUUUGCUCUCAAAAAGGGUCUUUUUGAUGAUUCUACUGUUUUUUUUAGGAGUUGAAAUGGGUUUUUGAUGAAUUCAAGUGGGCGUCUUUUGUUUGUUAAUGGAACGGUUUUGUUUUUGGUGGUCAAAACAUUUUUUUUUUAUAAUGAUUUUGUAGUCAUUUUAAGGAGCUGUGAAAUGGGUGUUUGAUGAAUUCAACUGGGUUUCUUUUACUUGAUGAAAUGCCACCAUCCGUGGGGUUUGGUUAUGUAAACAUGAAUUUUUUUUUUUUUUUUAUGAUUUUGAAAGUGAUUUUAAGGAGCUGUGAAACGGGUAUUUGAUGUGUUGAACUGGGUCUAUCCUAUUUGCUAAUGGAAUAGGUUUUAGUUUCUGAACUUGGAACAUGAAUUUUUUUAUUUUUUAUAUGAUUCCGUGUAUAUUUUGAUGAGCUUGACAUUUUGUAUGAUGAAUUGAACUCAGUUUUGACUAAAUGGGAUAGGUCUUGGAUUAUGGUUCAUGGUUUAUUUUGAUGAUUUAUUGAACCGGAUUUCCUCUGUUUUGGGACCCACUCCACUCCUGCAUGGCCAUUUUUGACAUGCAAUUCCAUCGAACACGUGUCAUCCUCUUUGAUUUUUCAUCCUCAUAUGUUAAAAUAUGAUUUUCAAAACUCCAAUUUUCACGUUUAAUUUUUAAAACUUUAAUUUUUAAAAUUCCAUUUUUUUUUAAUUUAAUCUUCAAAACUCUAAUUUUCAAAUAAUCUUCAAAGUUCCAAUCAUCGAAAUUUAAUUUUUAGAACUUCAAUUUUCAAAUAAUUCUCCAAAAUUCCAAUUUUCAAAAUUUCCAUUUUCAAAAAUAAUUUUCCAAAAUUCUAAUUUUCAAAAAUUCUAAUUUUUCAAAAUUUCAAUUUUCAAAAAUUCUAAUUUUUCAAAAUUUCAAUUUUCAAAACUUACAUUUUCAAAAAUAAUUUUCCAAAAUUCCAAUUUUCAAAACUUCCAUUUUCAAAUAAUUUUCCAAAAUUCAAGUUUUCAAAUUUAAUUAUUAAGAAAUCCCAUUCUCAAAUAAUUCUCCAAAAUUCCAAUUUUCAAAAUUUCCAUUUUCAAAUAAUUUUCUAAAAUUCCAUUCUAAAACAAUUCUCCAAAUUUCCAAUUUUCAAAACUUGAAUCAUUUUCUAAAAUUCCCAUUUUCAAAUUUAAUUCCCAUAAUUUCCAUUCUCAAAUAAUUUUUCAAAAUUCCAAUUCUCAAAUUUAAUUUUUGAAACUCCCAUUUUUCGAAUAAUUUUUCAAAUUUUCAUUUUUUUUAAAUUUAAUUUUUAAAAUUUCAAUUUUCAAAACCCUAGUUUUCUUUCAAAUAGUUUUAAUCCCACUUCAGUUUUCAAAUAUUUUUAAUUUUACAACUUUUCAUCAUUCAUUAGGGUUUUAAGUCACUAAAAAUCAUAUUUUUAAAUAAACUUGCUACUUUUCCUUUCAGGUAAGCACUUUCACAAAUUUUCUUUGUUUUUAAAAUAAUAUUUUGUUUCUCUUAAUUUUAAAUAAACAUGAAGGCAAUUUUCAUAAUUUCAAAAUAAUGGAAUUUAUGGAAUUAAUUCAUGCAAAAUAAUUGGGCUUUGGUGGGAGCCUAACAUUCAUGACAUUUCUUUCAAAAAUAAUUCAAGUGAAUUGCAUUAUCGAUAUUGUUUGAUUUUGAUUGGUUUUGUGUGAGAUAUUUUACACUUAAUAUUGUGCACUAAUUCUGUUUCAUGAUAGCGCUUUAUUACCUCUAGUCAAGGUACGCUCUCACUCUCAUUUUGUUUAUUUAUUCGUUAUCAUAACUUGCUUUUGAUCUAUUAUCUUUUUGGUAUUCAUUGAUUUUUCUAGUUAAUUGUCAUGUUUGCUUCACCUUAUUUAGUAGAGACCCAUUUUUCAGGGGCUUAGAGGGGUGCUACGGUCUUUACCGUACUUUUCCAAUAAGUAACCUAACCCUCGAAUCCGACUUUGGUCUUCCACAAACUAUCUUUUCCAAAUAAGGAGUCACACUUAGAGUUUUCUUUCUUAUUUUGUUUUCCCUUAAAAAUAAAAUAAAAAUAAGUGGUGACUCCAAGUAUUUUCUAAAAAUCAUUUUUUUUUUCAAAUAAAAAAAGCGAGUUUUGCCAUCAAGUGGAAACACAUCUUGCGAAAAUGUGGGGUCCACAUAUCCCCUUCCAUUCCUUCAUACCCAAUGAAAUCUAAAUAAAUCGCCAGCCUAUUUUUUCAUUCUUGCUUCCAACCUCUUUUUUAAUAUUUAAAAUUGAUAAUAUAAAAUCUCUGCACAUGAUAUUGCCCACUUUGUCAUGGAAUUGAGAACAAUGAUAAAUCACAAUUUUCACACAAAUGAAAGUCUGUAUACUUUUUUUUUUUUUUUUUUGUAAGGAAUAAUAUUGUGUAAGGAACCAUUAAUGUAAACAUAUUGAAGGAAAAACAUAAAAAAUAAAACAAAUAUCACAAAAGAUAUAUAGGUUUAUCUCCACUUUGAACCAUGAAUUCUUUUGAUCUACUAGAUGUUUUUCACUUUAGGUGUUUCUUACUCCUCUCAUAAUUUUUUCCUUUCAUAAUUUAGAAUAUUUAUAGAAAUAUUUCCACUGACUUUCCUUAUUCUAUAACGAAUUUAAUUACAAUCACCUAAAAUUAGAAAAUAUUCAUAACUUUAUGAUAUUCUAAAUAGGAAUUUAAGACACCUUCCUAACACAUAAUCAUUUAAAUUUAUUUUUUUCACACAUUAUACAUUUUAAUUUUUCAAUAACAAUUUCCACACAAAUAAUUAUUUUUAGAUUUUUCUUUUUAAAUUUUAACAACAUUAAUAAUUUAAUAUUUCAUCCAAAUAAAAAAUAGUGAAAUUAAGAAAAAUUAAAAGAAAGAUAAAUAAAUAAACUAGUCACAUAAUAUAUAAUAGUUUUUCAUAAAAAUUGUGAAUUAAUAAUCCAACCAGAGCUCUGGGCCCACAUGUUAUAUAUACUGAGAAUCCACAUGUUAUAAUGAGAAAAAAAAAUGGAUUUAAAAUUUAAAAUUAUUUGAACAUGUUUCUUCUAACUCGUUGUAUAUAUUUUCCUUAUUUAUAUAAAGAUUAAUUAUUUUAAUUAAUUUUGAUAAUAUUUGAUUUUGUUUUUCAAUGAUAAACGAAAUAUGAUCAAAUGAAUAAACCACUGAAGUAUACUAUGCAUUUUAUAUAAAGUUUUUUUAUAUUAGUACCCAUGUGAACUGAUCAUAAGAAACUGGGUACCAUCAAAACUGUACAUCUGGAUACUGAGGAUCAGCAGAACAGAUGUAAUAAAUGUUCAUAUUUUCUAUAAUGUCACAUGGGACUUAGGAUGGUUCUUGGUAGAUAAGUUAAUUGACUUGGAAUCUUAACCUAAUCUAUAAUUUAAAAAAUGGAUAAAUUAAUUAAUUUAAGAAUAGUAACGGUCCAUAUUUUGUCAGGCCACAUGGGAGUUAGAAUAGUUUAAAGUGAACAUGUGACCUGAUGUAUAAUAUAAAGUGGAAAACUUGUCCAUCGAAUCCAUAAAUUAUAUUAUAAUGGUCUACUGUAAUAUGCUUGACUUGGCAUCCCUUAUAGGGCUAUGCCAUGGGAGAAAAGUCUUCCCUUUGUAAAAGAAGGGUUGUGCAACAAAUGAAUGUUGUGUCUUUGCUUUUUGAACUGAUUUUUAUUGGCCCAACCCGACCUAACUCAGCCAUCAUAUAAUCAAUUUGAGCUCAACCUAAGUUAAAUAAUUUCAAUUCGAGUUGAGUACAUCAGAUUGGAAGUCAGGUUGGGUCAUCCUUUAGGUUGAUGUAUUUCAAGGUCGCACUGAGCUUGGGUUGGCCAACUUGCCGAGUUGCAACCCUAUAUAAAUUGUUUUACAAAAAUCGCAAUUUUGACGAUUUAUACUUUAUUUGAUAACUGUUUUUAAAAACAUUUUUAAAAAAAUAGUUUUUAAGAACAGUUUUAAAAAAUUGUUCUAUGAUAUUUUUUAAAACAAAAGUUUAUUUGGAAACUUAAAAUUGUUUUUAAUCUAUUUUUAAUAUUUUUCAAUGUGUUUUAAAAAUUUUUUUUAUAUCCAUAGCUUUAUUUUUAAUCAUUAGAUAUAUAUAUAUGUAUAUAUAUAUAUAUAUAUAUAUAUAUAUAAUUUUUAAAAAUAACUCUAAAAAAAAAAUUGAAAAUAAUUAAAAGAUAUUAUCUAAAAACACCAUAUUUUUUAUUUUUUAUUAUCUAUUUUCUAAUAAUAGAAAAUAGAAAAUGGUUUUUUAUUAUUAAAUGAAUUUUAAAAUUCUUUUAUUCUAAAAACCAAAAAUUGUUCUUGAAAACAAUUGCAGGGCAUUAAUGCAAAGUCCAAGGCAUUAAUGCAAAGUCGCCCAACCAUCCCCUUCCAUUCCUUCAUACCUAAUGAAAUCCAAAUAAAUCACCCUUUUUUCAUUCAUGCUUCCAACGUCUUUUCUAAUAUUUAAAAUUGAUAAAUAUAAAAUCUCUCCAUAUGAUAUUGCCCACUUUGUCAUAGAAUUGAGAAUAAUGAUAAAUCACAAUUUUCACACAAAUGAAAGUUGUAUACUUUUUUUUUAUAAGGAAUAAUAUUGUGUAAGGAAGUAUUAAUAUAAACAUAUUAAAGGAAAAACACGAAAAAUAAAACAAAUCAUAUAAAAGAUAUAUAAGGUUUAUCUUCACUUUGAAUCAUGAAUCCUUUCGAUCUAUUAGAUGUUUUCACUUUGGGUGUUUUUUUCUCCUCUCAUAAUUUUUUUUCUUUAUAAUUUAGAAUAUUUAUAAAGAUAUUUAUACUAAUUUUCCUUAUUUUAUAAGAAAUUUAAUUACAAUCACAUCUAAAGUUAGAAAAUAUUCAUAACUUUAUGAUAUUCUAAAUAGGAAUUUAAGACACCUUCCUAACAAAUAAUUAUUUAAAUUUAUUUUUUUCACACAUUAUACAUUUCAAAUUUUCAAUAAAAAUUUCCACAUAAAUAAUUAUUUUUAGAUUUCUCUUUUUAAAUUUUAACAACAUUAAUAAUUGAAUAUUUCAUCCAAAUAAAAAAUAGUGAAAUUAAGAAAAAUUAAAAUAAAGAUAAAUAAAUAAAUUAGUCUCAUAAAUAUAUAAUAAUUUUUCAUAAAAAAUUAUGAAUUAAUAAUCCAACCAAAGCUCUGGGCCCAUAUGUUAUAUAUAUUGAGAAUCCAUAUGUUAUAAUGAGAAAUAAAAAAUAAAAAAAUGGAUUUAAAAUUUAAAAUUAUUUCAACAUGUUUCUUCAAACUCAUUGUAUAUAUUUUCCUUAUUUAUAUAAAGAUUAAAUAAUUCAAAAAUAUACAAGUAUUUUAAUUAGUUUUGAUAAUAUUUGAUUUUGUUUUACAAUAAUAAACGAAAUAUGCUCAAAUGAAUGAACCAUUGAAGCAUACUAUGCAUUUUAUAUAAAGUUUUUUUAUAUUAGUACCCAUGUGAACUGAUUAUAAGAAACUGGGGACUAUCAAAACUGUACAUCUGGAUACUGAGGAUCAGCAGAACAGAUAUAAUAAAAAAUGUUCAUAUUUUCUAUAGUGUCACAUGGGACUUAGAAUGGUUCUUGGUACAUACGUUAAUUGAUUUGGAAUCUUAAUUAACCUAAUCUAUAAUUAAAAAAUGGAUAAAUUAAUUAAUUUAAGAAUAGUAACGGUCCAUUUUUUGUCGGGCCACAUGUAGCCCUUACCUGAUAUAUAAUAUAAAGUGGACAAGUUGGAGCAUGCUUCCCAGAGUGAUUUAAAAAUUGUUGAAAAUUAAUGUAGAUGGCACCACAUUUUAUAUUAUUGAAUACAUCCACAACCUUUAAUUACAACUGGCAUGGCCUGGCAUGACUUGUCCACGGAAUCCAUAUUAUUAAUCAAUACCCAUGUGACCUGGCCUAUCCCAUCCACCAUAAAGAUAUCUCUUACUUUGUUCUCUAUUCUCUCACAAUUCCCUCAGCUUCUCAUCCUGUACGUGCUGUAUUUUCUUGGCUUUCUGCUACUUUGAGUUGUUCCGAAAUGGCUGAUCAAAUUCCAUUCGGUGUUGUGGAGCACAUUUUGACCAAGUUGGGGUCCAAGGCGUUUCAAGAAAUUGGAUCCAUGUAUGGUGUUCCAAAGGAGAUGACCAAGCUCAAUGGGAAACUGGGCACCAUCAAGGCUGUGCUUUUGGAUGCUGAGGAGAAGCAGCAACAGCAGAGCAAUCGUGCAGUCAAAGAUUGGGUCCGGAGGUUCAGAGGUGUUGUUUAUGACGCAGAUGACUUGGUGGAUGACUAUGCAACCCAUUAUCUUCAGCGAGGAGGAUUGGGAAGGCAGGUCAGUGACUUCUUCUCAUCUGAAAAUCAAGUUGCUUUUCGUUUAAACAUGAGUCAUAGACUCGAAGAUAUCAAAGAAAGGAUAGAUGAUAUUGCAAAAGAAAUCCCCAUGUUAAAUCUGACUCCACGGGACAUAGUACUACACACACGGGUGGAGAAUAGUGGGAGAGACACCCAUUCAUUCGUGUUAAAAUCUGAAAUGGUAGGAAGAGAAGAAAACAAAGAGGAGAUAAUAGGGAAGUUAUUGUCGUCCAAGGGUGAAGAAAAGCUUUCGGUUGUUGCCAUUGUAGGCAUUGGGGGGUUGGGUAAGACCACCCUUGCUCAAUUGGUAUACAAUGAUGAAAGAGUGGUCAAUCAUUUUGAGUUUAAGAUAUGGGCUUGCAUUUCUGAUGAUUCUGGUGAUGGUUUUGAUGUUAAUAUGUGGAUCAAAAAAAUUUUAAAAUCUCUGAAUGAUGGGGGUGCUGAAAGUCUGGAGACUAUGAAAACUAAGCUUCAUGAAAAAAUAAGUCAAAAGAGGUACUUGCUAGUCCUCGAUGAUGUUUGGAAUCAAAAUCCUCAACAAUGGGAUCACGUGAGAACUUUAUUAAUGGUUGGUGCUAUAGGUAGUAAAAUUGUAGUAACCACCAGAAAACCUAGAGUUGCAUCACUCAUGGGAGAUUAUUUUCCAAUUAAUUUGAAAGGUCUUGAUGAAAACGAUUCUUGGAGGUUGUUUUCAAAAAUCACAUUUAAAGAUGGAGAGAAGGAUGUGCAUACAAACAUCACCCAAAUUGGAAAAGAAAUUGCAAAAAUGUGUAAGGGAGUUCCUCUCAUUAUUAAGUCUUUAGCAAUGAUAUUGCGGUCUAAAAGAGAACCGGGGCAGUGGUUGUCUAUUAGAAACAAUAAAAAUUUGCUGUCACUCGGAGAUGAAAAUGAGAAUGUUGUAGGGGUGCUGAAAUUAAGUUAUGAUAAUUUGCCAACUCAUUUGAGACAAUGUUUUACAUAUUGUGCUUUAUUUCCAAAAGACUAUGAGAUUGAGAAAAAGUUGGUGGUACAACUAUGGAUAGCACAAGGUUAUAUUCAAUCUUCAAAUGAUAAUAAUGAGCAAUUAGAGGAUAUAGGGGAUCAAUAUUUUGAGGAAUUAUUGUCAAGGUCAUUGUUGGAAGAGGUUGAAGAUGAUUUUGCUAAUACAGUAAUGUAUAAAAUGCAUGACCUUAUACAUGAUCUUGCACAAUCAAUUGUAGGAUCUGAGAUCCUUGUUUUAAGAAGUGAUGUAAAUAAUAUUCCAAAAGAAGCUCAUCAUGUAUCAUUGUUUGAAGAGAUAAAUCUUAUGAUCAAGGCUCUAAAGGGAAAACCCAUAAGAACCUUUCUUUGUAAAUAUUCUUAUGAAGAUAGUACAAUUGUAAAUUCAUUUUUUUCGAGUUUUAUGUGUCUACGUGCGUUGAGUUUAGAUGAUAUGGAUAUAGAGAAGGUGCCAAAGUGUUUAAGUAAAUUGAGUCAUUUAAGGUAUCUUGAUCUUUCCUACAACAAUUUCGAGGUACUUCCAAAUGCUAUUACAAGGUUAAAGAAUUUGCAAACACUAAAACUCACAAGCUGUCGAAGAUUAAAAAGAAUUCCAGACAAUACAGGAGAAUUGAUCAAUCUUAGACACUUGGAGAAUGAUAGCUGUUAUAACUUGGCUCAUAUGCCACAUGGAAUCGGCAAGUUGACUUUACUUCAAAGUCUACCAUUGUUUGUGGUUGGGAAUGACAUAGGGUUAAGGAAUCACAAAAUUGGUAGCUUGAGUGAAUUGAAAGGCCUUAACCAACUAAGAGGAGGGUUAUGCAUAAGUAAUCUUCAAAACGUGAGGGAUGUUGAACUGGUAUCCAGGGGGGGAAUUUUGAAAGAAAAACAAUAUCUUCAGUCCUUGAGAUUGGAAUGGAAUCGGUGGGGCCAAGAUGGGGGGGAUGAGGGUGAUCAGUCAGUGAUGGAAGGCCUUCAACCACACCAACAUCUAAAGGAUAUCUUUAUAGACGGGUAUGGAGGUACGGAGUUUCCAAGUUGGAUGAUGAAUAGCCUGCUUCCUAACCUAAUUAAAAUUGAAAUUUGGGGAUGUUCAAGAUGCAAAAUUCUGCCACCCUUUUCUCAACUCCCUUCUCUCAAGUCUUUGGGGCUUCAUGAUAUGAAAGAAGUGGUGGAGUUAAAGGAGGGUUCAUUAACAACGCCACUCUUCCCAUCUCUUGAAUCGCUCGAACUCUCUUUCAUGCCAAAGUUGAAGGAAUUGUGGAGGAUGGACUUACUAGCAGAGGAAGGUCCUUCCUUUUCUCAUCUUUCUCAAUUAAAGAUCAGUUAUUGCCAUAACUUGGCAUCCUUGGAACUGCAUUCUUCUCCUUCUCUUUCUCAAUUAGAGAUCCAUUAUUGCCCAAACUUGACAUCCUUGGAACUGCCGUCAUCUCUUUGUCUUUCUAAUUUAUAUAUCGGAUAUUGCCCUAACUUGGCAUCCUUGGAACUGCAUUCUUCUCCUUGUCUUUCUCGAUUAGAAAUCAGGGAAUGCCCUAACUUGGCAUCCUUCAAAGUGGCUCCAUUACCUUAUCUUGAGACACUAUCUCUGUUCACAGUUAGAUAUGGUGUGAUAUGGCAGAUAAUGUCUGUCUCUGCUUCAUUGAAGUUUCUGUAUAUUGAAAGCAUAGAUGAUAUGAUAUCUCUCCCGAAGGAGCUACUUCAACAUGUUUCUGGCUUGGUAACGUUACAGAUCCGUGAGUGUCCUAACUUGCAAUCCUUGGAACUGCCCUCAUCUCCUUCUCUUUCUGAAUUAAGGAUCAUAAAUUGCCCUAACUUGGCAUCCUUCAAUGUGGCAUCAUUACCUCGUCUUGAGAAACUAAGCCUGCGUGGAGUCAGAGCAGAGGUACUGAGGCAGUUAAUAUUUGUCUCUGCUUCUUCUUCAUUGAAGUCUCUGCGUAUACGGGAGAUUGAUGGUAUGAUAUCUCUCCCAGAGGAGCCGCUUCAAUAUGUUUCCACUCUCGAAACUCUCUACAUUGUUAAGUGCUCUGGUUUGGCAACAUUACUACACUGGAUGGGCAGCCUUUCCUCGCUUACGGAACUUAUUAUUUAUGACUGCUCUGAAUUGACAUCACUGCCAGAAGAGAUCUGUUCCCUUAAAAAACUGCAGAAAUUUUAUUUCUGUGAUUAUCCACACCUAGAGAAAAGAUACAACAAGGAAACAGGUAAAGACCGGGCCAAGAUUGAUCAUAUCCCACGUAUUAAUUUCCAAAGUGAUCGAGUUAUGGAAUAUAAGGUCCGAAAUCCCUAACCUUUCUUCCCAUUUUUAUUAUUUAAGAAUCAAAAUGCUAUGUUUUCAUUUUAUUAUUAUGUUUUCACUGUAUCCUUGGCACCUCAUAUGUUUGUUUUUACUGCUCACAUUAAUAAUUUUGAAAUUUUUUUCCAGCUUGGAUGUGCUUUCCGAUGAUGUGCACUAAACUAACCAUUUUACUUGGAGUUGUACAUUCUAAGAGUUUGAGGAAAUACUGAGGUCUGAUAUGAUAACUCUAAAUCUUAAACGUUGUUUUGUGUUUGGAACGUUACUACACUUGAUACAUACCCUCACCUCACUUACAGAGCUUGGAAAUCGUGGCUGCCUUGAAUCGACGUCACUGUCAGAAUAUAUGUUCCCUCAAAAACCUGCAGACACUAAAUAAUCUGCAUCUGUUCACAGAAAGAUGCUGAAAGGAAAGGUGAAGACCAACCCAAGAUUGCUCAUAUGCCACAAAUUGAUAUCAUACAUCCAUGAAGAUUGAACUGAUACACAAUGCCUUUCAGGUCCGAAAUCCCUAACUUUUCUUCUCAUUUUCUAUGACUUCAUUUUCAUUAUCUUACUUUUAAAAUGCUCUGUUUUCAUUUGUUUUGGUAGUUCUUUGUAUUUGUGCCUUGUUUGAUUAAAUGCUUACUUCAAUUAAGUUUGAAAAUUUUUACAUCUUCAAAUUAUUUUAUUGUAAGUGUUUUGCAUUCUAAGAAUUUGAGGAAAUACUGAGCUCUAAUAUAACUAGUAGAGUCCACCAUUCCUAAGAAGCUUACCAUUGCCUAAUGCCCAAAGGAUCCCGAAAGGAGACAACUUUGGAUUGGCUUGAAGAUUUCACAUGGUCCAAAAAUUUGUAUUUACUAGACGCCUGAUACAAAAAGUAGUUUAAAUUUAGCCAUUAAUAAUAUAACUUUUUUAUUAGAGAAAUAAUUGCCAAACAAAUGCAAAAUAGAAAAUGGUGUUAAUGAAUUCAGUACUUCAUCUAUGUUGCAGUUUAGUAGCUUUUGUUAGAUAACGAGUAUGGGGUUGGGUUUAUCUGGUUACCAUUCCAAAUAUUCUUAAAAAAAUCAUCAAGGCUUUGUUUGGUUUCUUGAAAAUUUGAGGGAAAAAAUAGAGAGAAAAAGUGGAAGGAAAAAAAAAAGUGGAAGUCAAUAACUUGGCAUCCUUGGAACUGCAUUCUUCUCCUUGUCUUUCUCGAUUAGAAAUCAGGGAAUGCCCUAACUUGGCAUCCUUCAAAGUGGCUCCAUUACCUUAUCUUGAGACACUAUCUCUGUUCACAGUUAGAUAUGGUGUGAUAUGGCAGAUAAUGUCUGUCUCUGCUUCGUUGAAGUCUCUGUAUAUUGGAAGCAUAGAUGAUAUGAUAUCUCUCCAGAAGGAUCUACUUCAACAUGUUUCUGGCUUGGUAACGUUACAGAUCCGUGAGUGUCCUAACUUGCAAUCCUUGGAACUGCCCUCAUCUCCUUCUCUUUCUGAAUUAAGGAUCAUAAAUUGCCCUAACUUGGCAUCCUUCAAUGUGGCAUCAUUACCUCGUCUUGAGAAACUAAGCCUGCGUGGAGUCAGAGCAGAGGUACUGAGGCAGUUCAUGUUUGUCUCUGCUUCUUCUUCAUUGAAGUCUCUGCGUAUACGGGAGAUUGAUGGUAUGAUAUCUCUCCCAGAGGAGCCGCUUCAAUAUGUUUCCACUCUCGAAACUCUCUACAUUGUUAAGUGCUCUGGUUUGGCAACAUUACUACACUGGAUGGGCAGCCUUUCCUCGCUUACGGAACUUAUUAUUUAUGACUGCUCUGAAUUGACAUCACUGCCAGAAGAGAUCUAUUCCCUUAAAAAACUGCAGAAAUUUUAUUUCUGUGAUUAUCCAGACCUAGAGGAAAGAUACAACAAGGAAACAGGUAAAGACCGGGCCAAGAUUGCUCAUAUCCCACAUGUUCGUUUCAACAGUGAUUUGGAUAUGUAUGGGAAGGUAGGUCCGAAAUCCCUAACCUUUCUUCCCAUUUUUAUUAUUUAAGAAUCAAAAUGCUAUGUUUUCAUUUUGUCUCUGGUAAUUCUUUUAUGUUGGCACCUCAUAUGUUUGUUUAAAUGCUCACAUCAAUAACUUUUUGAAAAAUUUUCCAGAUUUGCUGAUGCUGUGUACUAAACUAAUCAUUUUACUUGCAGUUGUACAUUCUAAGAGUUUGAGGAAAUACUGAGGUCUGGUAUGAUAACUCUCAAUCCUUGGAACUGCAUUCAUCUCCUUCUCUUUCUCGAUUAACGAUCCAUGAUUGCCCAAACUUGGCAUCAUUACCUCGUCUUGAGGAACUAAGCCUGCGUGGAGUCAGAGCAGAGGUACCGAGGCAGUUCAUGUUUGUCUCUGCUUCUUCUUCAUUGAAGUCUUUGCAUAUACGGAAGAUUGAUGGUAUGAUAUCUCUCCCAGAGGAGCCGCUUCAAUAUGUUUCCACUCUCGAAACUCUACAUUGUUAAGUGCUCUGGCUUGGCAACAUUACUACACUGGAUGGGCAGCCCUUCCUCGCUUACGGAACUUAUUAUUUAUGACUGCUCUGAAUUGACAUCACUGCCAGAAGAGAUCUAUUCCCUUAAAAAACUGCAGAAAUUUUAUUUCUGUGAUUAUCCAGACCUGGAGGAAAGAUACAAGAAGGAAACAGGUAAAGACCGGGCCAAGAUUGCUCAUAUCCCACGUGUUCGUUUCAAGUGUGAUUUCAAAUUGAAAUGGAAGGUAGGUCCGAAAUCCCCAACCUUUCUUCCCAUUUUUAUUAUUUAAGAAUCAAAAUGCUAUGUUUUCAUUUUAUUAUUAUGUUUUCAUUGUAUCCCUGGCACCUCAUAUGUUUGUUUUUACUGCUCACAUUAAUAAUUUUGAAAUUUUUUUCCAGCUUGGAUGCGCUUUCCGAUGAUGUGCACUAAACUAACCAUUUUACUUGGAGUUGUACAUUCUUAGAGUUUGAGGAAAUACUGAGGUCUGAUAUGAUAACUCUCAAUCUUAAAUGUUGUUUUGUGUUUGGAACGUUACUACACUUGAUACAUACCCUCACCUCACCUCACUUACAGACCCAAGAAUACAUAGGGCCACACUUGGUGAAGGUUUCAUCAGUAAGGAGAACCAUUUCAAGUAUGAAAUCCUCCCUUCUCAUUUUCUGAUGACUUCAUUUUUAUUCAAUAUCCAUUUGAAAUUAUUUAAGUUCAUUUUCUUUAGAUAUUAUAUUUUCUUGCUUGCUCAAUAAUUUCAUUUAAGUAAGUUUUUUGGAUAUCACAUUUUCUUUGGGGUUUUUUUUCUUUUUAGAAUAAUUUCAAAAUGUCAUUUUUAACUAUUCACAAAAUUUGAUCAUAGUUGAGUGAUUAAAAUUCAAGUUUAUUCUUAUUAUCAUUAGUAGUUAUUUGAUAUGUUCGUUUGCUAAUACAAAAAUAAGACUAACAAGUAAUGUGCAUAGAGUUUGUAGAAGAGAAGAAAGAUUUGAUCCAAGAUAUUCCUAAAGAUCGGAAAAUUUCAAAGCCACCCAAGAUCGCACAGGUUGAAUUCGGAUUCAUCCAGUUUACAAUCCAUUAAUUCUACUUAUAUCAUCUUUGUUAUGUUACAAUUUGCCUUUACUUGUUAUGCAGCCUACCUUAAUAAUUUGGGGAGACCAAGAUAAGGUAUUCCUAGUAGAACUGGCUCACAAAUUGAAAAGGUAAACUUGUAUCACCUGCCUACAUGCCUACAACAAUACAAACACUAGCUCAUGUCUUUCUCACUAUUGAAAUUGUUAUUGCGUGCAGGCAUUUCAGGCGAGGAGACCCAACUUGUGAUCAUAGAGCAUACUUUUAUCAUAGAGAAGCCCAAGGAAAUAUUUAAGCACUUGAAAUCAUUUCUCAUUGAUUUGCUUCCACCUCCCAAGCAACACCUAGAACCACUCCCACCAUGACGAAGUUAAAAGGUACUAAUGCAACAUUCUCAAUAUAUUAGAAUAUAUCGAAGGAAGGGUGGCCACAUAUGAAGACCCUAUUCCAAGGUCAAAUUUUAGAUUUUUGUGUUUUUCCUAUCACUAUUCCUAUACUAUUACUAGUGCACCUUAUUUGUCAAGAUGAUUAAAAGGGAAUUCCCUAGGAUAAUUAGUGUCUCAAGUGAUCUUGAGGUUCAUAAAUUUUUGGUUUCCACAAGAUAGGUGCCAACUAUUUUUUUUUUUUUUUUUUUUACACCCAUGCAAUAUUCCAGUCAUCUAUUAACAAGGGCUAAAAUUUCUUGUAGAGAAUAGAAUAAAGAACUAAAUUACAUGAAAAUAGGACAUUAUUAUUCUAUUUACAAGUAAGGGCCAAAAAUUGUUGAGGGCCAUCAAGCACAUUGUUCCUAAAAUAAUAACAUCCAUGUUGUUGAGCAAAAGUUUUUUAUAUUGGCACCUCAGAUGUUUGUUUAAAUGCUCACAUCAAUAACUUUGAAAAUAUUUUCUAGAUUUUUGAAAAAUUGUAAUGUUGUGCACUAAACUAAUCAUUUUACUUGGAGUUCUACAUUCUAAGAGUUUGAGAAAAAACUGUCUGAUAUGACAACUCUCAAUCUUAAAUGUUGUUUUGUGUUUGGAAUAUUACUGCACUUGAUAGAUACCCUCACCUCUCUUACAGAACUUGGAAUUCAUGGCUACCCUGAAUUGACAUCCCUGGCAGAAGAUAUGUUCCCUCAAAAGCCUGUAGACACUAAAACAAUUUGCAUAUGUUCACACUUAGAGGAAAGAUGCUGAAAGGAAAAGUGAAGACUAAGCGAAGAUUGCUUAUAUCCCACAAAUUGAUAUCAUACAUCCAUGAAGAUUGAACUGAUACAAAAUGCCUUUCAGGUUCGAAAUCCCUAACUUUUCUUCUUAUUUUCUAUGACUUCAUUUUUAUUAUCUUACAUUCAAAAAUCCUAUGUUUUCAUUUGUUUUGGUAGUUCUUUUUAUUUGCACCUUAUUUGUUUUAUUAAAUGCUUACUCCAGUAAGUUUAAAAAUUUUUACAUCUUCAAAUCAUUUUGCUUGAGUGUUUUGCAUUCUAAGAGUUUGAGGAAAUAUUGAACUCUAAUAUAAAUAGUAUUGGUCAUAGAGUCUUCCUUUCUUAAGAAGCUUACCAUUAACCUAAUGGCCAAAGGAUCCCAAAAGGAAACAACUUUGGGUUGGCUUGAAGAUUUCACAUGGUCCAAACAUUCAUAUUUACUAGAUGCCUGAUAUAAAAUAAAUUUUGCUCUCUUUUCAAUUUAGCCAUUGAUGUAGUCUAAAUGUUUUAUUAGAGCAAUAAUUGUCCAGUAAAUGCAAAAUAGAGGAUGGUGUUAAUGAAUUCAGUACUUCAUCUAUGUUGUAGACUUGUAGUUUAGCAGCUUCUGUUGAUAAUGAGUGUGAGGUUGGCUUUAUCAUGUCACUGUUCCAAAUAUUCUUAAAAAAAAUCAUUUAAGCUCUAUUAGGUUCUUAGAAAAUUUAAGGGAAAAUGUGAGGAAAACAAAAUAGAGAAGAAAAGUGGAAGGAAAAAAAAGUGAAAGUCAAUGAAUUAUUUUUGUAUGCUACUUCAAACUCACUUCACUUUUUUUAACUCUUCAAUAUAAAGAUUCAAUCAUUUGAAAAAUGUGUAAAUUUCUAAUUAAUUUUAAUUAUAUUUGAUUUUCUUUGGAAUUCUCAUUUCUUCUCAUUUUCUUAUGACUUCAUUUUUAUUCAAUAUCUAUAUGAAAUUAUUUAUGUUCAUUUUCUUUAGAUAUUACAUUUUUUUGCUUUCUCAAUAAUUUCAUUCAAGUUCUUUUGGAUAUCACAUUUUCUUUGGUGUUUUUUUUAGAAUAAUUCAAAAUGUCUUUUUUAACGGUUCACAAAAUUUGAUCAUAGUUGAGUGAUUAAAAUUCAAGUUUAUUAUUAUUAUUAUUAUUAUUAUUAUUAUUAUUAUUAUUAUUAUUAUUGGCUAUUUGAUAUAUUUGUUUUCUUAUACAGAUAAAAGACUGGCAGCUAAUGUGCAUAGAAUUUGUAGAAGAGAAUAAAGAUUUGAUCUAAGUUAUUUCUAAUAGGUUGAGGAAUUCAUUCUUGUAAAAUUUGAGUGUUAAAGCCUUCAAGAGGUUUGAAUCUUGAAGAAAUUAUGUAAGAGCCCAUUGGAGCCAGAAUCCAAGUGUAAAGGAGAUUGGAAGCUUGGUUGAAGCUUCAAGUUAGUGAAACCCUCACUCGGUUAGGAGAUUGAGGAGAGUGGACGUAGGCAAGGAAAUGUCGAACCACUAUAAAAUCCAAGUUUAAAUUCUCUAACUCUAUCUCUUUAUUUUUUUUUAUUAUAUUGUACUUGAAUUUGUUGUGUUGAAAAAGUUUUUGAAAAACCCAAUUCACCCUCCUCUUAGGUGUUUUUCUCAUUUAAGCAUAGCCUUUAUUUUCUCACACUUGAAAUCCUUUCUCAUUAAUUUGCUUCCACCUCAUAAGCAACCCUCGAAACCACUUACACCAUGACAAGGUGAAAAGAAACUAAUGCUGCAUUCUCAAUAUAUAAGAAGAUAUCAAAGGAAGGUUGGCCACAUAUAAGGACCCUGUUUCUAAGGUAGAAUUUUAGAUUUUUGUGUUUUUCCUAUCACUACUCCUAUACUAUUACCAGUGCACCUUAUUUGUCAAGAUGAUUAAAAAGGAAUUCCCUAGGAUAACUAGUGUCUCAAGUGAUCUUGAGGUUCAUAAAUUUUUGGUUUCCACAAGAUAGGUGCCAACUAUUUUUUUUUUUUUUACACCCAUGCAAUAUUCCAGUCAUCUAUUAACAAGGGCUAAAAUUUCUUGUAGAGAAUAGAAUAAAGAACUAAAUUACAUGAAAAUAGGACAUUGUUAUUCUAUUUACAAGUAAGGGCCAAAAAUUGUUGAGGGUCAUCAAGUACAUUGUUCCUAAAAUAAUAGCAUCCAUGAAGAUUGAACUGAUACGAAAUGCCUUUCGAGUUUGAAAUCCCUAAAUUUUCUUCUUAUUUUCUAUGACUUCAUUUUUAUUAUCUUACAUUCAAAAAUCCUCUGUUUUCAUUUGUUUUGGUAGUUCUUUUUAUUUGCACCUUAUUUGUUUUAUUAUACUCCAGUAAGUUUGAAAAUUUUUACAUCUUCAAAUCAUUUUGCUUGAGUGUUUUGCAUUCUAAGAGUUUGAGGAAAUAUUGAGCUCUAAUAUAAAUAGUAUUGGUCAUAGAGUCUUCCUUUCUUAAGAAGCUUACCAUUGACCUAAUGGCCAAAGGAUCCCAAAAGAAAACGACUUUGGAUUGGCUUGAAAAUUUCACAUGGUCCAAACAUUCAUAUUUACUAGAUGCCAGAUACAAAAGAAAUUUUGCUCUCUUUUUAAUUUAGCCAUUGAUGUAGUCUAAAUGUUUUAUUAGAGCAAUAAUUGUCCACUAAAUGCAAAAUAGAGAAUGGUGUUAAUGAAUUCAGUACUUCAUCUAUGUUGUAGACUUGUAGUUUAGCAGCUUCUGUUGAUAAUGAGUGUGGGGUUGGCUUUAUCAUGUUACUGUUCCAAAUAUUCUUAAAAAAAAUCAUUUAAGCUUUGUUUGGUUCUUAGAAAAUUUGAGGGAAAAUGUGAGGAAAACAAAAUAGAGAGGAAAAGUGGAAGGAAAAAAAAGUGAAAGUCAAUGAAUUAUUUUUGUAUGCUACUUCAAACUCACUUCACUUUUUUUAACUCUUCAAUAUAAAGAUUAAAUCAUUUGAAAAAUGUGUAAAUUUCUAAUUAAUUUUAAAUAUAUUUGAUUUUCUUUGGUAUUUUCCAAAAGAUAAUCAAAUAUGAGAAAAUCAUUUUCCUUAACAUUUUUUUUUUCUUAGUACUUUUAGUGAACCAAACAUAACCUAAAUGUUUUAGUUUAGUAGUUUCAUCAAAUUAGAUAGACAACCUCACAUCUCUUAGUGAGCUCAGGUGCUAUGUCAAUUAAUGCUUUGUCUCUACUUCUUCAUUGAAGUCUCUAUUUAUUGGAUGCACAGAUGAUAUGAUCCAAACUCAAAUUGAACACUACUCUUGUUUUGCAACAUUACUGCACUCGAAAGACAACUUCAACUCACUUAUAGACCUUCUUAUUGGUGAUUGCACUAAAUCGACACCACUUUGGAAGAGAUGUGUUCCACAUAGAAAAUAUUUCAUUAUAUGCACCUACUCGCAAGAUACCAAAGGGAAACAAGUGAAUACUUGCCUAGGAAUACAAAGGCCAUACUUAGUGAAGGUUCCAUCAAUAAGGAGAACCAUUUCAAGUAUGGAAUUCUCAUUUAUUCUCAUUUUCUUAUGGCUUCAUUUUUAUUCAAUAUCUAUAUGAAAUUAUUUAUGUUCAUUUUCUUUAGAUAUCACAUUUUUUUGUUUUCUCAAUAAUUUCAUUCAAGUUCUUUGGAUAUCACAUUUUGUUUGGUGUUUUUUUUAGAAUAAUUCAAAAUGUCUUUUUUAACGAUUCACAAAAUUUGAUCACAGUUGAGUGAUUAAAAUUCAAGUUUAUUAUUAUUAUUAUUAUUGGUUAUUUGAUAUAUUUGUUUUCUAAUACAGACAAAAUACUAGCAGCUAAUGUGCAUAGAAUUUGUAGAUAGAAUUUGUAGAAGAGAAUAAAAAUUUGAUCUAAGCUAUUCCUAAAGACCAUAAACUUUUAGAGCUACCCAAGAUCUAACAGGUUAAAUUUUGAUUCACUUAGUUUACAAUCCACUAAUUAUCCUUAUGUCAUUUUUGUUAUGUUACAAAUUGCCUUUACUUGUUAUGCAACCUAUCUUAAUAAUUUGGGAAGACCAAGAUAACAUCUUCCUAGUAGAACUGGCUCAAAAAUUGAAAAGGUACACUCAUAUCACCUAUCUACAUGCCCACAACAUUAUAAACACUAGCUCAUGUGUUCCUCACUAUUGAGAUUGUUGUUGCAUGCAGGCAUUUUGGGCGAGGAGGCCCGACUUGUGAUCAUCAAUAACACAAGGCAUGCUUUUAUACAGAGAAUCCCAAAUAAACAUUUAAGCACUUUGUUAGCCCAAGGGUUCUCCUAAUCAGGUUUUGAUGAUAACAAACCAUGGUUAAGUGACUAAUUGGUUUGAAUGAUAAAGAAUCUUAGGUAUAAAUUUGGAAAUUCAUCAAAUGAUCAAAUGGAUACAAGAUCGAGACUUUUGGAAGACUUUUGAUCAUAGGAAACAAAUGUAAGAUGAAUGCAUGGGUGCACUUAGGUUUUACAUAUCUUUUCAUGAAUCUUUGAAAACUCGGUUUAUUCCUUAAAAUUACGAUUUCAUUAAAACCCGAGUUUUAUCAAAUGUACCUUAGGCAAAACAUUUCAAAAUUGGCAUAUUAAUUUACCUAAAGACCUUGCCUAAGUGUUAGAAAGGAAAAGAAUUGAAAAAUAUAGGUUUUCAGGGCCAAAAGGCUGAACUGAUCGAGGCACAUGCCAACCGGCUCAACCAACCAGGGAACCGGUCAAUCGGUUGCUCUUGCCCGAUCGAGAUCUGGUCGAGGAGUGUCAAAAACACUUUCUCUCAUCCAGUAACCUUCUCUUCCCAGUCGAGGUACUCUCCUUACCUCUGGUCGAGGUUCGGUCGAGGCAACGGUAACAUGCCAAAGCAUUAAAUGCUUCAACGACUAGUGAACCAAUCGACCCCCGGCUCGACCGGUUGAGGCUAUUUUUUGCUCUUUUUGGCUCCCGAGCUUAGAAACCAAUAAAUUGAGAGCUCCACUUCAUUUAUGACAUAGAGAAAACUUGCAAUCAAUUGUCUACCCACUUGUUCUUGCCUUAAAAGCUCUCAUUUAUUUCUUAGUGCAUUAAAUCCUCACUUGCAUAUCCUUUAGUACACCCUUGUGAAUCAUCCUAGCUUUGAUUUGUAUUUGAACUAUCAUUGAGGUAGAUUGAGGGAUUCAUUCUUGUAAAAAUUGAGUAUUAAAGCCUUCAAGAGGUUUGAAUCUUGAAGAGAUUAUGUAAGAGCCCAUUGGAGCCAGAAUCCAAGUGUAAAGAAGAUUGGAAGCUUUGUUGAAGCUUCAAGUUAGUGGAACCCUCACUCGAUUAGGAGAUUGAGGAGAGUGGACGUAGGCAAGGAAAUGUUGAACCACUAUAAAAUCCGAGUUUAAAUUCUCUAACUCUAUCUCUUUAUUUUUUAUUAUAUUGUGCUUGAAUUUGUUGUGUUGAAAAAGUUUUUGAAAAACCCAAUUCACCCAUUUCUUAGGUGUUUUUCUCAUUUAAGCAUAGCCUUUAUUUUCUCACUCUUGAAAUCCUUUCUCAUUAAUUUGCUUCCACCUCAUAAGAAACCGUCAAAACCACUUACACCAUGACAAGGUGAAAAGAAACUAAUGCAACAUUCUGAAUAUAUCAGAAGAUAUCAAAGGAAGGUUGGCCACAUAUGAGAACCUUGUUUCUAAGGUAGAAUUUUAGAUUUUUUUGUUUUUCUUGUCACUGUUUCUAUACCAUUACUAGUGCACCUUAUUUGUCAAGGUGAUUAAAAGGGAAUUCCCUAGGAUAACUAAUGUCUUAGAUGAUCUUAAGGUUCAUAAAUUUUUGGUUUCAACAAGAUAGGCGUCAAACCAUUUUUAUUUUUUUCUACACCCAUGCAAUAUUCCAUUCAUUUAUUAAUAAGGGCUAAAAUUUCUUGUAGAGAAUGGAAUAAAGAACUAGAUUAAAUUAAAUAAGACAUUAUUAGUCUAUUUACAAGUAAGGGCAAAAAAUUCUUGAGGGUCAUUAAGCACACUAUUCCUAAAAUAAUAACAUCCAUGUCGUCGAGCAAAAGUUUAUUGCAAUUACAUUAGCAUAUAAAACAAAACUAAUUUUUUUAUUAUUUAUGUUCACACCUUAUCCAUUUGAUAAAAUGCUUAAACAAGUAAGUUUGAAUUUUUUUUGUCUUCAAAUCAAUUUAAAUUUUACAUUCAAAAGUUGAAUUAAUUUUUUUUUUUGGAAAAUUUAACUGCACUUUAGAAGUUUGUGAUUAUUCUUUGGUCCAUCUUAAAAUGAGUUCCCGCAUUUUUCCAUUCCUGAAAUUAAAAUCACAAUAAAAAGUUUUAGAUUGACCUAAAAUUUUCUCAUGGCCUAGAAAUUCAUAUCUACUAGAUGGCUAAAGCAAAAAAACACUUCUAUCUUGUAUUUUAAGUAAUCCCUGCUUGCUAUUUGUUUAUUGAGAGCAUCAUACAAGUUGUGAUUAUAUUUCUUAAUUUUUUUAUAUGAUAAGACGGUAACUGGAUUGAGAAAGAUGCAACUUGUAGAGCAGAAAAUUUCUUGACUACUUUCCUUGUAUUUGCUUUGUGUGUAUCAACUGUUCUGUUAAUUAUUUUUUUAAAAUAUCACUAAAACAAACCUAUUAUGUCAAUGCUCUCUAUUGUUAUGUAUCAUAAUUUAGCUAUUUUUUCCCUAGAAAUCAUGCUUGUUAUUGUGUUAAUCAGUAGGUAGCAUAAGAACUAUUUUGUUCAAGUCAUUUUGUAUUGGCAUUCUUCAUGUUUUAAAAUAUUGUCAGACUAGCAAUUUUACUGCAGAUAUAAUGUUCUCAAAUCAAUGCAAAAAGGGACGUUGUGGGGCUUGGGCACAACCUUCCUUAAAUAGUUGAAUUGAGGGUUUCUAUAAACUAGGUCUCUAUAUCAACAGAUUCUACAUUUCAUCACUAUGGGGACCUUACAAUAAAUACCGCAAAAAACUUCAUUUACUACAUAGUAAGGAUAAUCCUAAGGACUUAAAAGCUUGAGUUGUCUUUUCCAUGGCAGCUUCAGAUCUCUUAAUAAGCUCCAAGUCAUUGUCUACCUUGAAUAUAAAUCACUGCUAGAAGUAUGUGCCCUCAACAUUCCCAUGUUCUCGAUAUUGACUAGAUAUUUGUUGCUAAUCCAUGAAGAAUUGAAGGGAUCUUUGAUAAUGACAUCUAUAAUGUACUUCAAGUUCAUGAUCCAAACCCUCUUCUUGCUUUCAAUAACUUCAUUUUUUUUUUAUAUUACUUUGUGGUCAAUGUUAUAAGGAUGUUGUAUUUUGUUUACCUGAUUCUCAUCCAUCAGCACACAUGAAAGGAAAAGUUUUACAUUGCUUUCCUUCCCUUUGCUCUGUGUUUGUAUAUGUUUAUGCAGCUAAUGCGAACUUCCACCAUAACUUUUUAAGUUUUUUCAUUCUUGAGUUUGGGAAACAACUGGAUUUGAUUGUAAUAUUUCUUGUAGAUAUCACCUUUCUUAAAAAGCUUGCAUUUAUUCACAUUUUCAAGAUGGCUAAGUCAUCUGAUUAUGCUUAUAACUUUUGGUUUCUAUUAAAUUCAGGUAUGAUGUUUGCAAUGCUAACCCCCUUACUCCUCUUGAAGACUACAUAAGUUUCUAGUGCUGUUACUUUAAUGGUUAUAGUCAAUGUAUCCUCUUGUUACUUCCUGCUUGCAUUCUAUAUGUUCAAGAGCUUUAUUAAAGUAAUUAUUUUAUUGAAGAUAUAAUUGUUUUCAGGUCAAAGCAAAAUUGAAUAAUGACGUGGUUUCAACAACUUCUCAAAAGUAAUUGGAAAGUAAGGAACUUUGUGGUAGUAUUCUGAUAUCACAUUGGGCCUUCAAAUUGUUGUCUUGAAUUGACAUAAAUAACAUAAUUUCUUUCCCAGUUAAGUUGCUUCAACAUGUUAUUAUGCUUCAAACUCUUUCAAUUAUGUGUUGUUUAGGUUUGGCAACAUUAGUACACUGGAUAUGUUGCCUCGAGUUACUUACACGACAUAAAAUUCAUCUUUGUUGUUAACUAGCAUCACUACCACAAGAUGAGUUCCCUCAGCAUUCUACAGACAACUAUAAUUUGGGACAAUUCUGGUUUGGCAACAUUAUCGGAGUUGAUAGGCAACCUAACAAAAACCUUUAAAUUUAUAUUUAUCCCGAACUAGCAUCACUGCUGGAAGACGUGCAUCCUUAGCACCCUAUAACCACUCAUAAUUGGAGACUGUUAUGGUUUGUAAACAUUCAACAGACUUGAUAGGUAACCUUGCACCAGUUACAGAGCUUCAAAUUCAUGGCUAUCUUGAAUUGACAUCACUUUCAAACUAGAUGGUUCAUCCAAACCUCAGUUGACACCCAUAAUUCAAGACUUCUCCAUUUUGGCAAUGAUAGCAGAUUUGAUAAGCAUCCCUACUUCACUUACAUACACUAAAAUUGAUAGCUACCUCGGAUUCACAUCAUUGUCACAAGAGAUUGGUUCCUUUAUAUCCCUGCAGACACUUGUGAUCUUUUAUCAUCCAUGUAUAUUAGAAAGACUUAAAAGGGAAAUAGAUGAAGAUAGGCCCAAUAAUCUUCAGUCCUAGAUAUUGAUAUGUGGUGAAGAUUGGACUAAUAUAGAGUUAGUUCAGGUUUGAAAUCCCAAUCUUUCUUCUCAUUUUUUAUGGUUUUGUUUUUAUCAAUAUGCUUUGUUUACAUUCUAUAUGGUAACUUUUGUAUGUAUUAGCAUAUAGAUCAAAAAGGACUUAGAUGAUUAAUUUGAAAAGUUUGCAUCCUCAAUUAAUUAGUAAUUAAAGACCAAACUAAUCAUAUUACUUUAAGUCUUGCAUUGUAAGAGUUUGGGAAAAUGUUAGGGUUGACUGAACUACUAUUUUAUAACAGAUUUUGCCUUACUCAAGAAUCUUGUGAUUAUUCCUUAGCACAAUCAUUUCUCGUGUCUAAGAAAUUCAUAUCUACUACAUGUCCAAAGAAUUUAGUAGCAUUCAAAAUUUAUGCUUUCUUUCAAGUCAGGUGUAUUGCUUGCAGUUCUAACAUGUUUCCUAUUUUGAACGUUGUAUUGUUAUUUUACUAUCAAUGUGUUAAGAGCAUUAUACUCUAUUUUCUAUAAUGUUGUUUACUUGUCAUAAGUAUUAAUUAUUUUAUUGCAAAUGUACUUGUUGCCAAGUUAAAGCAAAAGAGGAAAGUGAGGAUUUUUCAUGGACCAAUGCCUUUCUCAGUUGCUGCCACACUUGACUUCUCUCUAAGUUGUUGAAAAUUUAAAAGUGUGGUAGCAUAAAGUAUUCAGCUCAAGUGCUUUAGUGACUCACUACCCUUGAAGCUUUAGAAGUUGUCAAUACAAUUGGGGUUUCAACAUGUAACCAUUUUGGAAAUUCUAAGAAGUGUAAGUAUUAUGGUUUUACAACUUUAUUAGACUAGAUAGGCAACUUCAAAUUGCUGAAUGCCCUGAAUUAAAAUCACUACUAGAAGGAACCCAUGAGCACUCUAUAGAAACUCAUUGUAAGAGUUUGGGAAAAUGUUAGGGUUGACUGAACUACUAUUUUAUAACAGAUUUUGCCUUACUCAAGAAUCUUGUGAUUAUCCCUUGGCACAAUCAUUUCUCGUGUCUAAGAAAUUCAUAUCUACUACAUGGCCAAAGAAUUUAGUAGCAUUCAAAAUUUAUGUUUUCUUUCAAGUCAGGUGUAUUGCUUGCAAUUCUAACAUGUUUCCUAUUUUGAAUGUUGUAUUGUUAUUUUACUAUCAAUGUGUUAAGAGCAUUAUACUCUAUUUUCUAUAAUGUUGUUUACUUGUCAUAUGUAUUAAUUAUUUUAUUGCAAAUGUACUUGUUGCCAAGUUAAAGCAAAAGAGGAAAGUGAGGAUUUUUCAUGGACCAAUGCCUCUCUCAGUUGCUGCCACACUUGACUUCUCUCUAAGUUGUUGAAAAUUUAGAAGUGUGGUAGCAUAAAGUAUUCAGCUCAAGUGCUUUAGUGCCUCACUACCCUUGAAGCUUUAGAAGUUGUCAAUACAAUUGGGGUUUUAACAUGUAACCAUUUUGGAAAUUCUAAGAAGUGUAAGUAUUAUGGUUUUACAACUUUAUUAGACUAGAUAGGCAACUUCAAAUUGUUGAAUGCCUUGAAUUAAAAUCACUACUAGAAGGAACCCAUGAGCACUCUAUAGAAACUCAUUGUAAGAGUUUGGGAAAAUGUUAGGGUUGAUUGAACUACUAUUUUAUAACAGAUUUUGCCUUACUCAAGAAUCUUGUGAUUAUCCCUUAGCACAAUCAUUUCUCGUGUCUAAGAAAUUCAUAUCUACUACAUGGCCAAAGAAUUUAGUAGCAUUCAAAAUUUAUGUUUUCUUUCAAGUCAGGUGUAUUGCUUGCAAUUCUAACAUGUUUCCUAUUUUGAACGUUGUAUUGUUAUUUUACUAUCAAUGUGUUAAGAGCAUUAUACUUUAUUUUCUAUAAUGUUGUUUACUUGUCAUAUGUAUUAAUUAUUUUAUUGCAAAUGUACUUGUUGCCAAGUUAAAGCAAAAGAGGAAAGUGAGUAUUUUUCAUGGACCAAUGCCUCUCUUAGUUGCUGCCACACUUGACUUCUCUCUAAGUUGUUGAAAAUUUAGAAGUGUGGUAGCAUAAAGUAUUCAGCUCAAGUGCUUUAGUGCCUCACUACCCUUGAAGCUUUAGAAGCUGUCAAUACAAUUGGGGUUUUAACAUGUAACCAUUUUGGAAAUUCUAAGAAGUGUAAGUAUUAUGGUUUUACAAAUUUAUUAGACUAGAUAGGCAACUUCAAAUUGUUGAAUGCCUUGAAUUAAAAUCACUAUUAGAAGGAACCCAUGAGCACUCUAUAGAAACUCAUUGUAAGAGUUUGGGAAAAUGUUAGGGUUGAUUAAACUACUAUUUUAUAACAGAUUUUGCCUUACUCAAGAAUCUUGUGAUUAUCCCUUGGCACAAUCAUUUCUCGUGUCUAAGAAAUUCAUAUCUACUACAUGGCCAAAGAAUUUAGUAGCAUUCAAAAUUUAUGUUUUCUUUCAAGUCAGGUGUAUUGCUUGCAAUUCUAACAUGUUUCCUAUUUUGAACGUUGUAUUGCUAUUUUACUAUCAAUGUGUUAAGAGCAUUAUACUCUAUUUUCUAUAAUGUUGUUUACUUGUUAUAUGUAUUAAUUAUUUUAUUGCAAAUGUACUUGUUGCCAAGUUAAAGCAAAAGAGGAAAGUGAGGAUUUUUCAUGGACCAAUGCCUCUCUCAAUUGCUGCCACACUUGACUUCUCUCUAAGUUGUUGAAAAUUUAGAAGUGUGGUAGCAUAAAGUAUUCAGCUCAAGUGCUUUAGUGCCUUACUACCCUUGAAGCUUUAGAAGCUGUCAAUACAAUUGGGGUUUUAACAUGUAACCAUUUCUUUUUGUUCUUAUAGACAAUAGAACAAUGUGGUAAUUGCAUGACAUACAAUUUGUAAUAGAUGGUCAACUAUAUAUUAAGUAAUCUUUAAUUGCCUUGGAGUUGAAACGUUUGAUGUUGAUAAGGUUUGAUAAUUCUUGCUUUGGUGCUUUGUUGGAUUUCAAUUCAGGUAAUUAAUUGAUCUUGUUAUGAUUUUUUGAUUGUUAUUAUAACUAUCGUGAUAAUCAUUCUUAUUUUAUCGUGGUAAUUGACUUCACUGACUUUAUGCCCAACCUAUUAUUGUUAGUAUUCCAUUAACAUACCUCUAAUGCCACCACUAAUAAACAUCAUGUGUUUAUAUUUAUAACACGUUUCAUUACUGAAAUAAUUUAAUAUUUUCAAAUUUCUUUUUAGAGUGUGAGAAAUAACCAUUAAUCUUUACAACAGCAUAAGUAUCAUUGAUUUGAUAUUGCUUUCUUGAGUAAUUUGGCAAUUUAAUUAUGAAGUUUAGUUGGACAUUACUUGAGAUUCAUGUCUUAUGUAUAUGGUAUAUUUUCCAAACUUCAAUUAUAUUUAGUAGACUUGUAAGUGGUGUUUGUCUAUGAGUUUCAACUCUUGAAAACUAUUAUUGGAGUCUAAGUUCACUUUCAAUAAGGAAAAAAAAAAAUCAACCUUUUCCUCAAUUGUGUAAUUUUAUUCACUAUUGACAUGCCCUUAAAUGGCAUUGCUAUUAUUUGUAGGGAACAUUGUCAAGUUCCAUAUUUGUCUAGAAAGUUAGAAGAAGUAUUUAAUUUGACAUGGUUUGGACAUCUUGCUACUAUCUUUUUAAAUUAGUUAUCAAUAAUUUUUCAAAGUUGACCUUUUUGUUUAUCUCAUACUCCUUUUAUAUUAAAAGGUAUCGCAUGGGUAUUAUGUAGAGGAAUCAUGCCUUCUUUAAUUGAGGUGAGCCUCUUGCAAAAUAUUUCAGGUUUGCUCUCAUUCCAUUUGUUACUUCAUGUCUAUUUUUUUGUAAUCAAUCAAGCAAGAGUUUCUUACUUGUACAAUGGUGAACUUGCUUGCAUGAAUAAUACUCUUUUUACUAUUUUUUUCUUUCUUUAUUAUAUUCAUUGAUACGCUUAGAAGUGAAUAGUGAACCAGGUUUUUUGUUAAAAGAAAUCAAAUAUUGGUAAUUAUUUAGUAUCAUGUUUGUAAUAAUCAAUUAUUGAUUGUAAAGAUACUUGGCUUAAUCAAUUAUUAUAUUGAAAUCAAUUUAGUACUAUGACUAAUACCAAAAGGAUAAUAUUUAGUCUUGUUUGACCAUUAGUCACUAUUCUAGAGACAAAUGCUCACAAGUUUUGCAUCUUUGAAGCAUAUGAGAAAAGUUGGUUCAACUAUAUCACCAACUUACAAGCUCCUUAUAGUGUCCAUAUAUAUAACCUUCGUUGUUCAGGUUUAUGAUUCAUAUCUUUUUUUUUUUCAUCUUUUUAUUGUUUAUAAUUUUUUAAUUGAUUUGUUUAUAAAUUUUUAAACUUUAUUGGCAAUACUAAUUAUUUUUUUUUAUUCUCAUGUGCAAUAGAAUAAUAAGUUGAAUAAGAAGCAUAAACUACUUAAUUGGUAUAACCGUUUACUCAAUUCUCUUCUCAUAUAUUUUUGUUCAAGGUAAUCAAAGUAUCAUUCUUUUUAUUUUUAAAGGUACUUGAACUCAGUGAGGACCAUUCCCAAAACAAGCAAUCAUUACAGUUGGAUUACUGAUAUCAUAUCCUUGAUUGACAUCUAUGCCAUUACAUUUGCAUCUAAAGGAUUUAUAAUGAAAAAAUAUCUUUUUUAUUUCCAUUUUCCUUCCUUCUUUUGACCAUAAUUUGUGUGCUUAUUGAUAGCAUUCAUACCCUAAUAUAUUUGCUAGCAUAUAUAUGCAUAUCAUAAUCUAUUGAAUUUUUUAGCAUAAGGUCUUAGAGUAUUCACAUAUCUCUAGGUUCUAUAUAUUUAUAAUUUUUACAACAUCAAAUGAAGUAUAUGAACCUUAUCCUGAAGGUGAAGUCUCUUUAAAGGGAGUUUCAACAUGUUAGCAAUUACCUAACUUAAUAAUCUAACAAUUUGGCACUAUAUAUAAUUUUGCAACUCUUUCAUAAAGUAAUUGUGUUACCUUUAUUCACAUUUUCUAUCUUUAUUUUAAAAAAAAUGAAUUGGUAAUUGUGUGUCAAAUCUUGCUUACAAUCAUUAAUAGGUACUUAUAUGCUAAAUGGAUAAAGUUAUUUUACAAUUGUUUCAACAUAUUUGGAAUAUAUAUAUAUAUAUAUAUAUAUAUUUAUAGAUGUAAUCACUACCAAGCCAAUGCGAAAAGCUAUAACAAUGAGGAUUACAAAGCUUCAAUUAUGUCUUGGAGAUUCAUAUUGACAAGUUGUAAAUGGUGGGUGAAGUCUCUUUAAAAGGAGCUUCAACAUGUUAGCAGUUACCAAACUUAAGAAUCUAACAACUUGACACUAUAUAUCAUUUUGCAACUCUUUCAUAAAGUAAUUGUGUAACCUCUAUUCACAUUUUCUAUCUUUAUUUUAAAAAAAAAAAUGAAUUGGUAAUUGUGUGUCGAAUCUUGCUUACAAUCAUUAAUAGGUACUUAUAUGCUAAAUGGAUAAAGUUAUUUUACAAUUGUUUCAACAUAUUUGACACACAAGUACCUAUUAAUAAGUAUAUAUUUAUAGAUGUAAUCAUACCUAGCCAAUGCGAAAAGCUAUAACAAUGAGGAUUACAACGCUUCAAUUAUGUCUUAGAGAUUCAUAUUGACAAGUUGUAAAUGGUGGGUGAAGUCUCUUUAAAAGGAGCUUCAACAUGUUAGCAGUUACCAAACUUAAGAAUCUAACAACUUGGCACUAUAUAUCAUUUUCCAACUCUUUCAUAAAGUAAUUGUGUAACCUCUAUUCACAUGCUCUAUCUUUAAUUUUUUUUUUUUUUUAAAAAAAAUGAAUUGGUAAUUGUGUGUUGAAUCAUUCUUACAAUAUUUAAUAGGUACUUAUACACUAAAUUGAUAAAGUUAUUUUACAAUUGUUUCAACAUGUUCUGAAAACAAAAAAGAUUAAUAAGUAUAUUUUUUCUAGAUGUAAUCACUACCAAGCCAAUGUGAAAAGCUAUAACAAUGAGGCUUACAAAACUUCAAUUAUGUUUUGGAGAUUCAUAUUGAAAGUUGUAGAUUAUGGAUGUAUAGUAUAGGAGUUAGAUUGAGUUUAUCAUUCUAUCUUUGACAUCUUAGUUUUCUAUGUAUUGUCCAUCAUAUAUAUUUGUCAUCUAUUCUUUACAACCAAUUUUUUAAGGACUUCUAUGAUUUGUUUAAAUUUAUAUAUUUGUUUUUAUUUGUACUAGAACUUCACCAAGCUACAAAAGCAUCACAAGUAUUGCAAUUGGAGUUCAUGGAUCAGGUAUUUUAGUAGUUUUUGUACCUGAAAUUUUUUUAUGAUACUAAUGAGGAUGUUUACCUUGAUUAAUUUAACACUUAUAUUGCAAAUAUCUAUAUAGGAGUUCUAUACAUUUAUUUAAACAUUUAUAUACAUAUUUAUCCUCUUUCUAGCACAUUCUAAUGAUAUUUUUAACAUUGAUAUAAGUUGUUUGCUUGAAGGUUUCAACUAUUGAAAAUUAUUAUUCAAGCCUAAUGUUAAUCUUUUUCUAUAGUGGAUUUCAAAUAAUAAAUUCUUAUUUGAUUAUUUGUAGGGAAAAUAAACAACUUCUAUGUUUGAUAAGAAAGAAGAUAGAGUAGAUCAAUUUCACAAUAUACGAAUGCUACGCUUUCUAUACUUUUAAAGAUGGUUACAAUUGGCUUUCUAUACUUAACAAGUACAUCUUAGCUAAAAGUGAAAAAAUGUUUCUCUUUGCACAUGCCUUCACUACUAUUUUAAUUGCUAUCUUAAUAUGUUAUGGAAAAACCACGGCAAAUAACAAUAAUAAGGAGAAGAAAUAAAAGAACAAAAAUAUAAAACUUAUAAAGUAGGAUGAUCUAUGUGGUUUGGCCUAAACCUACAUUUAUAUGUGAAAAUGAAGAAGAACUUCCACUAUUAUUAAAGGAGAUUAAAAUCCUAAAGCUUUCAAAUCUCAUGAUUACACUAAAAAUGGACUUUUUUUUUUAAUCAAAAUCUCUUCCUUUAUUUUCUUGAUUAUAUAAGAAUAUUCCAUAGAGAAUUAAUUGUGUAAUUAUCAAAGAUAACUAUUCCUAAAAGAAAAAUCUUAUAAUAUGAUAUUUCCUUUAGAAUAAAAGAAAAAUCUCUUGUAUAAAUAUAUCAUAAUAGGAAAAUAUUAAAGACUUAUAAAUUGACUCAAAACAAUUUGAAAUAUUUUUCAACAAUCUCCACAUUGGCUCAAAUUCUCAAUAUUCAAAUAAACUCAAAAGUCUUCUAUGUUACUUUGCUCUUAUACACCCUUAAGGGAACUUCAAGUAAUAUCAAUACCAAUUAAGUCUAAGCAAUGCAUAAACUUAAUCAUAGAAAUAAGUUUAGCCAUCAUAUCUAUAAAAUUAUCAACUAUAGGGAUCUUUUUCAUUACAUUAGUACCUUGUUCAAUCACAUCUCUAAUAAAAUGCAUUCUAACAUCAAUAUGUUUGGUUCUCUCAUGUAACAUAUGAUUUUUAGUCAAAAGUAUGACACUUGGCUACCAUGAUAACAAUAAUCAAUGAUUGGAACCAAAUAAUUACAUUUUGUGUGCCUAAAAUUAGGCAUUCAUAUUUAAUAUCCAAUUCUAGUUUCAUCCCUUUACUCAAUUUUAUUCCUAAGUCCUUAAUUUUGGGUUUAAUGUAUUUUUUAAAUAUUUUCCUUCUUUUUUGGUAUAUUUAUAUCACAUUUUUGCUAGCCAUUAUAUUUUUCAUGUGUUGGUUGCUAAUUUUACACUACAUAGUUGUCACAUCAUCCAACUAAUGGUUGUUACAUUAUCCAACUAUGGGCUGCCACAUGCUCCAGCUACCUUAGCCUCCUUGCCAAGUAUUUUCCAUGCCAAAAAAAGAUUGACAACUAUUUCAAUUGGUUGGUAAAGUUGAGAAAAGCUUCCACCAACCUCGCCAUUAAGUUGUGCUCCUUGCUCCAAUUUCUAAUUUUGCUUUCUACCCUCUUGUGGAGUUAGUGUGGAAAUGACUUUAUACAAGGGAGAUGAAGGUUGGUUUUAAGUAAGGUAGCUUAUUUGUAAACUUGUAUUUCCUUCAUUCAGGCGGUAGUUCUCAUUUCUUAGCCUUGAUUUUCAAUUUUGAUCCUCUCAUCUUGCCUCUAUGAGUGGCCAACAUCCAAACCAAGGAAUAAUUUUUAAUAAAAUAUUAAUAUUAAUGUUCAAAUAAAAUCAUAUAUUUAUAUUCCUUAUCACAUUUAUAGGAAGAGAAAUAUUUGAGACUAGGCCCAGUUCACUUUUUAUAAUUAUAAAUAUCAUAAAAAUAUGAAUAUUAAUAUCCUUAUCCUCAUAAAAGCAUAAUUAAUUUAUUUUAUAAAAAAUUAAUAAUAAUAAUAAUAAUUACUAGUACGAUUUUAUUUUAAAUAGAUUUAAAAUUAAAUAAAGUUUAAUUUUUAAGGUAUACAUGCAUAAGUUUUUCAUUACAUAUACACAUUUAAUACUUAAUUAGUAAUAGUGUAUUCUAAAAUUUUUUUAUCUAGUCUAUAACUAAUUAAUCCAUUUUUUGGAAUUCUAAAUUGUUCUUAAAAAUUAAAAUAUUCAUUAAAGAAUUGAAAGUGUUUAUUAUGUUUAACUUAAUUUAAAUUUAUUUAUCUAGUGAGAAAAUUCAUAAAAUAUAGUUUUAUGUAUAAAGGAAAUAGUAACGACUUUACAUUUAACGAAUCUUUUAUUUUAUAUUGAUUCAUUUAAUAGUCUAUUAUAUAUAUUUAAAAUUUAUUAAACUCAUUAAUAAAUUCAAUACAAAGUUUUACUUAAUUUGAAAUUCAUCUCUCUAGUGAAAAAAUUGAAAAAAAAUAUUAUUUUGUGAAAAAAAAAUACAAUAAAAUCAUUCUAAACUAAUUUUUGUCCAUAGAUUUUUUGUAUUUAUUAGUUUAUUAUUUGAUUUUUAAAUUAAUUUAAAAAAUUAUUAGACUUAUUAAUGAAUCCAAUACAUUAUUUUUUUGUUUAAUUUAUUUAUCACACCAUCAAACAAACUUUUAUUAUUAGUAAAAGACCUCUCAAAAGAUGUUUUUUUUCUAAAUAAAAAAAAAUAUUAUAAACGAUGUUUGAUUCGAGAGUUUUUUAAAAAUAAAAAUUAUUUUAAAUUAUGUGUACAUAAUUGUUGCAAAUUUAUUUCUUUUUCCAUUACCAUUUUCAUUCCUACUUAACAUUGAAAUGAAAACAAAUAAUCAAUUAAACCUUACAUUUAUUCCUAAUCCAAUGACAAGAAUUGGUAUCACCGAAUUCAUUCCAUUCUCUAGUCUCAUGUAUCAAACAUAGUCGUAUAGUACCAAAAACUUCUUCUAAGUAAUGUGGAAUAUCACAUUCACUUUCAUACAGAUACAGUUUUUAUUGUAUCACAUGGAAUUGUGAGGCCUUUUAGUACCAUUUGUAAUGACCCACCUCCAAUUAUAUAAAUAUUAUUUGGUCUAAGUCCAAUGGACUCUAAUCGGUUUUAAAACUUGGCUAUACUGUUAAGAGAAGUCUACUAUGUAUACAAUCUUCUCCUAAUAAACAUGUGACAUAACAAAUGGUGGGACUCAAACUAAAGCAAGGCCUUUCAAACUGUCUACCAUCUUAGUUUCAGCAUGAAUUCAAUUUGUUCCAAACAACAUAACUCUGGAGUAUUUUAAACAAACGAUUUCCAUUUAAAACACAUUAUUAAAGUAUAAAGAAAACAAACCCGAUCUUCAAGCGGUUUUGGGGAUCACCUGUGGAAGAGCAGUGAAAUAGAAAUAUCCACUAAGUGUAUAGGGACCCAAGAUCAACACAUGCAACAGGAUAUCUAAUUCCUCCUAAUAUCAUCAGCAUGAAGAAAAUUGGCAUCAUUUCCACUGAGUUCUGAUGCCCUCUCUGAAAAAAAAAUAAAUGCAAAACAUUUGUUUUUUCUAAUCAUCGGUCAUCCAUACAUAGAAAAAUCUAUGUGUGAUCUUAAGCCAGAAAAGAUGUUGCAUCUAAUCAAAUUCACUAGACAUGAUGAUAUCUAUACUUUUUUUUUUUUUAAUUAUAUUCAUAUUUAUGUCAGAAAAUAAAUUUUUUAUUUUUUAUUUUUAGAACAUUAAACUUUUUAAAAGUCCUUUCUGGGAUAUUUUCUAGCUUUUUCCUUUUGCUAAUUUUUGUUAUUCAAACAAAUCUUAAGAAAGGAAUCAAGCUUGGACACAAUUAAAGAGCUUGGCAUCCUUGUUUUUAGAUUCCAAAGCAUAUAUAGAGAUUGGGGUAAAACACCUUGUACCUAAGAAAAAAAAAGGAAAAAAAAACACCACAACAAAAAAUUAACCAAAAAUCAGAAAACUAACUAGAAUAAAAAAUCAAGAAAAUAUUUUUUUCUGGGUUAAUAAUUAAUUAUAAUGAAAUCAAAAGAAAAAGAAAAAAUACAUACUUCUUCCUGGCUUUGCCUACACUGAAAGCCAUGAAAGAAUUGGAAAAGCAGUAAAGAACAAGAACAAGAACCACAUAUGGGGAAAGCAAAUCCUCUGUUGCCUUCUUCAGAUUAAAGGCAACUAAUAAACGGGUUAAGGGGUUAUGAGUUUGACUUGGUUGAGUUUGAAGCUACAAAAGUAAGAAAAAUGGUAGUAAUUUUGGAAGCAUUUCUAACUCUUCCAUAACUUGAAAGAUAAAAAAAUUUAAGCGUUAAAAAUGUUAAAAGAGCUUUUUAGAAUCACCCCAAAUGUACUCUAAAUUAUUUAUGACUUGAUGUCACCUUCACACUCAUUUUUCAGUGUCAUUUAAUUUUGGUGUUCCCAUAUUAAAGAUUUAGGGUAAUGUAAUAUUCAAGCCUUCGAAUUUUGCCUUCACUAACCUUUGAAUUUUAAUUAAAUUCUUUGAAGGAUAUUUGACCACUUCAUUGUCCAAAAAUGCUUAUAUUGCCAUUUUUUUGGGUCUUUUUCUAUAAUUCCAAUUUUACUAUUUUUCUUUUAUUUAUUCCUAUUAUUAUUUAGGCUAUUAUAUAUAAUAUUCUUAAUAUUAUAUUUAUAAUUGUUAAUAGUAUAAUUACUUUUUUUUCAUUUAUUUGUCAUUUAUAUUGCUUAUCUUAUCUUUAAUCAUGUAUAAGACUCAAAAACUGCAGAAAACAUUAAUAAGUAACUACUAAACUUCAAAGAGAUAAUAAAAUUCAACUACAUUGAUAUUACAAUAAUACAAAUGAAAUAUAUACCAACCAGCCCUUAAAGGGGCUUUUAAGAAAUAAUGAGUCUACUUCAGAUUGACAUUUAAAGUAGAAUCACCAUCUCUAUAGAUAAAUAUGAAGCCUAAAAAGAACAGAACAUCACUAAAUAAUAUUAAUAAAGCAACAAUUAGAUCAAUUGAUAGUGAAAAUAAAGGUUUACAAGAUGAAUCACAUAAAUAAGAACAACUAAAUUGAGAAACAAAUUACAUGUCUGACAAAUCUAAUGAGGGAAAACAUUGGAGCUAGGUGCCCAAUGAUUGGCUCCUUGAAGUUGACCUACCUCCUCAAUAGGUACAUAGGAGUCCUUACCUAAAAAAACAUUAAAAUCAAUAGGGCGAACAUAAGAUCUAAUAAAGGAUAUGAGUUUUCCUUUUUGUGCACCAAAGGAAGAUAAUGAAGUAGAAGAAAAUGAUGAGAAUUUUUUUUUUGGAAAAUAUGGGGAGUCGUUCUGUAAAUGAAGCAGAAGAGGAGAAGUUGUAAGUGUUGGAGAGAAAAAAGAAGAAGGACAUUUUUGUCUCAAUCAACAAUUUUGUUUUGUUUUUUAACCGGUGGGUUAUAUAUGCAAAUGUGGGGGUUAUUUUGACCCCUUUAACCAAAUAUCCCUCUUUUUUAUCGAGUUACAACUUUAAAUUAGGUGUAAAAAGAAAUUUUGAUAUGGUAGAUACUAUACAGUUAUAUAUUGAAAUUCCAUGGUUCAUUAGAUAAACCAUCCUUGAAUUUCUUUGGUUUCAAUCAAGAUGAUAGAUCAUCCUUCCACAGAGUGACCUAAUAUGACAUUGAUUUUCUAGGGCUUCAAACACGAAGGGUGUCAAUGACUAAGAACUCCGUUUGAUUGCCGAGAAAAUGAGGAAAAAAACCCUCAAAUAAAAUAUAAAUACAAUUAAGAAUUUCAAUUUUACAUUGUUAGGGACCCCAAAAAUGGGAACAUUCACUUAACUGAGCCUAAUCCAACCACCUACCUUAGUUCAAUCCAGUCCCCACUUUCUAGAAACCAAAACAAUAUAAACAUUCCUGUGUUUGACUAUUCAGAAAGCAUAUGAUAAGCAAAGAAAAGAACGGUGCCUCCUCAAUCAAACAAAUUUUUUUUUUUCCUUUUCUUUUCUUGCAUUUUCUUUUUUUCGGCAACCAAACAUAACUUUUUAAUUGAGCAUUGUUGUAUACAAUUUAGAUUUCUUUCCCUCGGUUUCUCCGUAACCAAACAGAAUUUUUCUCUAUUGAGCGAGAGUCUAGUAUAUCCUUCGUUUUCCUAUAACCAAACAGAACUUCCCUUGUUAUUUUUUUUAAUCUUUUCUUUGAAUUUCUCGGAAACCCAACGGAGUUUACUUCUGGUGCAACCGUGCAAGAAAAUGGUUUUACCUGAUCGCAGUUCACCGGACUAACUGAAGCAACAGAGGCUUAAGAAAAAGAGACUGAGCUUUGUUUGUUAGACCCCCUAUGUGAGUAUGCAAAGUAAGAAGAACUGAAGCUGAAAUUAGGCGGCUUCCAAACACGUCCUAGGAGUUGGUUUUAAAACCCAUUUUUCCCCUUUUUGGUUGCAAUCGGUCUGCAAAGAUGCCAUUAAAAGGUAACCGUAGUUGGUUGCAUGAAUAAGAAAAUGAAAAGAAAAGAAGUUAAAACUAAUUAAAAUUAUUUAAUAUUUACAUUGAAGAGUAAAAAUAAUUACAAUAUAUUUAAAUAAACACAUAAAAAUAAUAAUUUAUUAAUUUUAAAUCUAUUUUUAAAAUUUUCAAUUUUUCAUUUAUUUUAUUCCCUCUAAGCUUUCUAACUAAGGUCAUAAUUUGGACAAAUUGUUGGAUUCAUAACUAAUCUAAAUAAUCUAAUAGAGAUAAAUAAAUAAUUAAUUUAAGUUCAACCCAACCUCUAAGCUUUCUAACUAAGGUCAUAAUUUGGACAAAUUGUUGGAUUCAUAGCUAAUCUGAAUAAUCUAAUAGAGAUAAAUAAAUAAUUAAUUUAAGUUCAACCCAACCUCUAAGCUUUCUAACUAGGGUCAUAACUUGAACAAAUUGGAUGGUUAACAUACAACUUGGACAUAUUGGUGGGUUCAUAGCUAAUCUGAAUAAUUUAAUAGGGAUUAAUAAAUAAUUAAUUUAAGUUUAGCCCCACCUCUAAACAAAGGUAUUUAAUUCAAUCUCAACCAACUUCAUUUCUUCGAGCUCUGGUUGAUGAGGUUAAACUUGGGUUAGCCCUUGAUUGUAUAAUUCAAAAUACAUGUAGAAUGUUUUUUAAUAAAAAAAAAUUUAUAUACUUAUAUCAAAUUUUAAAUAGUAAGUAGGACAAAACUUUAAAAUAACAAAAAAAAAACAAAAAAAAAAAACAAAAGCAAAAACAAAGUUAUAUAUCUUUUUUAAAAAGUAAAAAAAUAUAUUAUAUAAUAUAAUUUGAUUUUUUAUUUAUAAAAAUUUAGAAAGAAUAAAAUUAUUAUAUAAAAUAACAUAUAUUGGAAAUAUUAUAAAAACACUAAAAGUUUGUUCAGUAGUUAUUCAAAUAAGUGUUUCUAUCCAUAAUUUAAACUUUGGUUUCAAUCUAACUUGAAUUGAAUUUGAGUUGAAAAAGUUUAACUUGAAUAUUAAAAAUAAUUGUCUAAACACGAUCAAAUAUCGGAUUGGAUUCGACUAAUCUGCCAAAGUUGCACUCCUACCAAGAACCAUACACAAUAAAAAGAUUUUAAGAUAUUUUUUGUUCUAGGAAAGUACUCAAAAAGGAGAAAUAAAGAAAAAAAAUGAUUCUAUAUGUAUAAUUAAAAUUAGUUAAAUUUUAUAUAUUUUAAAAUUAUUUAAUUUUUUUUAUAUGGAAAAGAAAAAAAAAGAGUGAAGUAAGUUUGAAAAAACAAGUAAAAAUGAUUUGUUAACUUUAAUAUUUUUUUUCUUUUCUUUUCUUCUAUUUUUUUCUUUUUAGUUUAUUUUUCUCAAAUUUUUCAAAAAAUAAACAUAGAAUUAAAAAAUAAGAAAUAAUUACAGAAUUGGAAACCAAUUUUAGAACUUGCUUAUAUGAUUGCAUUAGUUUGUGUAAAUAAUAAUUUUAUUGAAUGUUAAGAGAGUGGUAUUAAAUGCACAUUAUUUAAUAUUUUUAUUUCUAAAGAAAGUAAUCUUUACAUGGAUUGGACCAGUGUUUAUUUAUCCAUGUGGGCCAGCCCAUUAAAAACAUCAAACCAACAACUCAAGGGACGACCCUGGUCAUUCUCGGGGGCCCACAACCUUCAUCUCAAACAAAAGCCCAUGGGCAGGAUCACCUUCCACACACAUCUUCAUACCAGCCACCACGCUACCAACAAUCCUCCUCCAUGAAAGCCCACCUCCAUCACAGCAAGCAGAAAAUCCAACACGCCAACCAUCAACCUCCGCACAGACCUAACACUGCAUAGCCGUGUUUUAGGAGUGUUAGGACGUGAUUAGAGAGGAUCUACUUUGAGUGUUCAUGGAGUUUCGCUAUAAGAGGAAUCAGUUUACCAAAAAUUCUUCAUGAAACCAUCCAUUUAUCUCAGGGAACAUUUAUGAAGUAGAGUCAAAUAGAUUUACAAAUAAGAGAUGAUUGAUUCCUUUGAAUGAAAUAACCUUAUUUCAAAUUGCCCUAAUGUGGCCUAAUAAGCAAAAUUACUGGUUAUAUUUUGGACACAUCUCAGUAGAGGUUCGGGGGAGAAAAUAGAAGAAGCAGAGAUGCUUACUUACUUCAGAGGGGCCACUGCUCGCCACCACCACUUCAUGGCUGUGCCCAUUUCACUUGCCCAAGCCACUCUCUUCUCCAAACCCUCCAUUUUACUCCACAGAAAUGCCAUCAAUGGCUUCUCCUUUUUCAUUCCUUUCUCCUCUUCUUCUGCUCAGAAGAUUCAGACUCACAAGUGGAGGCAACCGGUGGUCUCGGUUCUGGAUCUUGGUGGAGUCAAGAUUGGCAGAGAUGGUAACAUACCCACAUCCCAGAAUUGCGUUUAAAAAGGAUCUUUAGCUUGAAUUUCGUGUGCCCAAUUUGCGUUUUUGCAGACAUUUGCACUCAAGUCGUGUCGUUUGUUUGCAAUUUCACAAUCUGAUUUCUUUUCUAUUGUGCGUUUUUUUUUCCUGCUAGGUUCGAAUUCAAGCAUCCAAUUUGCGUUUUUGUGGGUAGUCUUAUGCCCAACUUGUGUCAUUCAAUUUGCAAUUGUUGUUAUCAGACUUCCUUCUCUCUUUUGAGACUUACACAGUUAGAGACGUCAUUUCUGUGAAAUUAAGAAUGCAUGUUCCAACUUUCACUUCUUUCUCUCUCUCUCUCUUUUUUUUUUUUUUUGUGAAAUUGGAAUUCAAGAACUUAUUUUACGUUUUACAAGCUUAGCGGGUUACGUUUCUGUUCUAUUUGUUGUGCUGUUGGAGGUGUUUGGUGCAUUUAUAUAACUAGGCUUGCAAUUUCGCCCUCUGAUAAAGGUUAAAUUUUCUCCCUUUUUAUUUUAUAUUUUUUUAAUGGUGUAUUUGUUUUGGGUAUUUGGUGAAAUGAGGAUUUUGUACUGGGUUUAUGGCAUUUUUUCAAUUGGUUUGAUAUAUGUGAAUGUGGGUUUUGUAGGGAAGAUAUGCAAAUUUUUUGAAAGUAAGAAUGCAAUUACAACUCUGAUUUCCUUUAUAUUUAUAUUUUUUUAUGCUUAUUUGCAUAUUGGUUGAUGUCAAAAUUCAUCUAAUGGGUUGUUUUUUAUUGCUUUGGAUUGGUUUAAUGUAGUUGAAUGGUGGAUUUUGUUUCUAAAACUUAGGGUCAAUUUCAAUUUUUAUUUUAUUUUUUUAUUUUUUCAAUUUGAAGACCUGGGAGUCUAUGUGAUUGGAAUUGAUGUACUCGAGUUUUUGGAUUUUGCUGAUUGCCUUGAUAAACUUGGGAUGCAGAGCCUUAAAAAAUAAACUACAUUCACUAAGCUAUAUCUCUGAUUAUACUUCGUCAGAGCGUGAAAUGCAACUUGGAGUCUUUGUAUUUUUUAAAUUUUUUGGGUUAUUCUAUUCUGAAUAUUUGGUAAAAUUAGAAUUCAUGUACUGAACCUUUUUCAAGUUCUUUUGGUUGGCUUGAUAUAUUUGGUUGUGGGGUUUGUAGAUGUGGUGAGGGAUGAUCCUACAAACAAUGUCCCGGAUGCAAUUUUUUUGAAACUUGGAAUGCAGCUUCACAGGAGGGAUCAACACCCAGUUGGAAUUCUGAAGAAUGCAAUAUAUGAUUAUUUCAAUGCCAAUUACUCUAACAAAUUUGAUAAGUUGGAUGACCUUUGCCCAAUAGUCUCCACAAAAGAGGUUUGACCAUUAAGAAAUAAAAUAGAAAUUGUAUGCAUGUUUUUUUUUCACUGUUUUGAGCUAUACAUUGCACUAUUUGGAACUUGUAUUAUCUUUCUAUGACUGGUGCUUGACAUUUUGUUGCUGUUUAUAUUUAUUUUGCUGCUCAUUUCUUGUUGGUUAGUGUCCUGUCCUAGGUGUUUUAACAUUUAAGAAUCCAUGAAAGUGGUAUUUGCAUAUGUUGCCCAUUAUUCCAUCGACGAUGUUCUAAGUAGGGAACCUAGUAUCCAAACUUCCAUCCAAACUUACAUAUAAAAAAAAAGUCCAGAACAGGCAUUCAGUUUACCAGGUUUAUCAGUUCUCUCCAGUGUUUAUUCAACUCUUAAAUGCAGUAUUCUGGACAUACUCCAAAUUUGAAAUUCCUUUGGUAAAAUAAAGGCAUGGUACUUAUAGUGGUCUAUUAAGGAAAAGGUUUGUUUGACCUAGCUUUUGUACAAAAAAUUCAAGGAUAGUCUUGCAGAUAUGUAUCAUAUAGGUGUAUAUUUCUCUAUCAUGAUACAAGUGAGAAAAAAUUCAGGAAAGUUGUUUUGUUUAAAAAAAAAAUUGAAAGUUAAUUUAUGUUUUGAGAGGGACAUUAGGCAACCUAGGAUUCAAAGGGACAUAUUGUCUCUUAGGAAAAUAUAAUUCAUAGCAUUCUCAACCACUUACAGGUUAUUUCAGUCCUUUUAUAUUGAUUUAUUUAAUUUUUUUCUUUAUUGUAGGCAAGCAAAAAAGAAUUUUACAACACCUACUAUUAUCAUUAUUUUGGUAAUUAGCAUUGAUGGAGAUUGUAAAAAUUCUCUAAUAGUAUUGCAGGAGAAAAAUAAUAUUUAUGAAUUUUUGUUAAACACAAUUGUCAUAAUGAUAAUAAUUAAUUAGAAUAAUAUAAGUUUGUAAUUGGAAAAAUUUUAAAAAAUAAAAGCUUUUGGAAAUAGUUUGAAUAGGAGUAGAAAAUUCUUGGAUUUCAUGGAGAGCUUAGGUGGGAUCUAAAGCAUGGGGCUGUUUGCUAUCUAUUUUAGUAUUUGCUGCUCUUCUCUCUUAUAGGUGUUCAGCUGCAGCUUGUAUUCUCUGAGCGUACUUGGGUUGUGCCCCCUUUUGUGUUCUUCAAUAUAAUCUUCAGGCUCAUGACUAGUGCAAUUUCUACUAAUUGAACACUUUUCACUUCAAAUAAUAUUCAGUAAUCUAAAUAGCAUUUAUCAAAUUAUUCUAACCCGCCAUUAGAUUUAUAAAGAACCCAAAAUAUGAAAUUUUCUUCUUAGGCAUGAGAAAUUGUCAUUGUUAUAAACCCCAUGUUUGUCUUGUACUUACAAGCAUAAUUAUAAAGCAUGAUCUGCGUGUCUUAUCAUGAAAUAUAACAAUGUCAUAAAAUAGAUGAUUGAUAAAAUGUUAGAAGUCCAUUGCAAAUGCUUAAUGGAACUGAAAAUUAUUACAGAACAAGUGCAUAUUUCACUCAAACUUUUAUGCAGUAGUGGUAGCUUAUAAACUCACAACUUUGUAAUCAUGUGCUUGAAUCAAGCAAACUUAAUGGCUCUCAGCUACAACUGCUCUACAUUUUAACCAUUGUUUUAUGUUAUGGGAAUAGUGACUGAAUUACACAGUUCCAUCAUUAUAAUUUAUGCAUUGUAAUUUCAUUUGUGGGACUUAGUUUUCACAUGUGUUCACAUGUCAUAACUGUAAUUUCCCUAAUUUUAUGAGAAAGAAAAACUCUUUAAUUUUCCCUAUUUUGACUGAAACUUUUGGAACUUGGACUUUAUAUGGUGCAAAUGUAUGUUAUCAGCUAUUGCUUUUGACCAGUCAUGAGUAGAUACUAUUUAUAAAAAGACACAAAGGAGGAUAUAAUCCAAGUGCACUUGUAGUCAACAAGUUACUCUGGGCAUCAAAAUUGAAAGAAACAACAAUGAAGAAAAGCAGCAAGAAAGUGCCCCUACCUCCCAAACUCUCAAUGAACUAAUGGAAGGAUCUACUACUAUGCAAGAUAACUUCUUCUAAGCACAACUACACAUAACAAUACUUAGCCUGCGCUAUGGUGUCAAGUGGUAGGGUCAUUGGAACAUGCCUAUUUUGAUGGAUUUUAAUUUGUGGGGAUAGUUAAAGUGUAAAGUGUUUGAUAAAAUAAAUUUGCUAGUUUUAAUAAAUUGGAAUUACUACUGAAUGAAAUGUGAAGCUAGAUAUUAGGAGGAGAAAGAAAGAUAAUUAAUUUAUUUGUAUGACACUAUGACUUACACAUUGUGAAGCUUACUAGUAGGGAAUUGUUGAACAGGGGAACUUACUUAAUAGGGGAGAAAGAACCACACAUAUUUCUUGAUGAGUAAAUAUAAUUACAUUAGCCAAAGGCCAAAAAUAUAUGAGUAGUUCACUAAUUGCAUGUUAUUGGAAAGAGAGCUGAGCAACUAUGAUUCAUAAACUUUUUACAAUUUAAAGGCCUGGGUCCAAUGAGAUAUGUUGCAUCAUAUUACCUAAUGAACCAAUGAAGUUUAUGGAUUUCCAAAACUUCUUGGAGAGGUUCAUUAUUUUAUGGUUCUUUUUUUUUAGGGUUCUUUAUUUUCUCUUUGCUGAGAUAUCUAGAAUAUGGCAUGGUAGGUAUUUUUGCUCCAUACCUCUUUGGAGGUCGAUUCUUUGGCAAAGUAGGAGGAAAACAAAUUAGCAUCAACUUUGGCUUGACUUGAGAUCACAAAUCUGACUAGAGAUUUUGCAGUAGUGUGUUGAGGUCUAAUCUGAAUCCAGGUUGUGAUGUGUGCAUCAAAGAGUCUUUCCAUAAGCCAUGAAGCUUUGAGGUGUUUUGUGAUGGCAUGACUGGAUAAUGAGCUGCAUUUUGGUCUGGAAUUUGGAGUUCGGUUAUGCAUUUCUGUAUCUAUAUCUCCAAAAUUAUUAACUAAUUUUAAUUAUUUUAUCUAUUUUUCAAAAUAAACAUUCAAAAUUGAAAGUUUGUGUCACGAGUCUUCAGGCUUAUCCGGAAUAGAAUGCCCUGCAUUAACUCUUGCUGUUAAUGCAUAUAAUACCAGGUCAGUCAACACAGCCAUUCGCUUGCUUAUGUUGACUUUCAAUGGCUUAAAGUUUAUGGCUUCAAUGGUUAUUACCAUGCUAACACUCAAACUAAUUCUUUUUUUGAUAGGUAAAUAAGAGCUUGUAUUAGAAGCGCCUAGAAGUGGCGAAAACAGUACACAUGAAGUAUACAAACAGAUUGCCCAAGAAACUAGGCAAAGAAGACAAAAAACCUUUCCCCUAACUAGACAUAUGGCCACUCUAUAAAAUGGUCAUUGGUUUCCUCUUUCUCUUUACACAAGCAUAUUCAAACUAAUAACUAAUAGUUAUUGGAUUUAAAGCUUGUUUGUUAAUGUUCUUCAUGGUUGUGCUUCUAUUUUUAAUCGAUUCUCUUGGCCAUCACCGUUUCCCCCUUAUUAAGAUUGGAUAUUUAAGUUUCAACGAAACAGCCUACUAAAUCCUCCAGAUAGAUCCUAUUUAUAAGGCAUGGAAGUUUGGUCAAUGUCUGCUUCCAAGAUUCUUAUCCAUAUUUCUAUGAAUUCUUAUGCCAGAAAGUCUACUUCUUGCAGAAUUUUGAUGAUGUCUUGGUUCCUCCUGAUCACGUCAGUAGAAGUUACAAUGAUACAUACUACAUUGACUCCCAAACUGUCUUGAGGUGCCACACUAGUGCUCAUCUAGCAGAGCUAUUGAGGAGGGGACACACUCAUUUCCUUGUGACUGGAGAUGUUUAUCCUAGAGAUUCCAUUGAUUCAACUCACUACCCUGUUUUUCAUCAGGUUUCUUAUCUCUGAUUUUAUCAAUGAUUGUUUUCUAUUAACAAGUUUCUUAAUGUUUUCUUCAGUUCAAUAACUUAUCAUGCAGAUGGAAGGUGUUCGUGUCUUCUUUCCAGGUGAUUGGGAGACAUCUGGAAUGGAUGGCACGUCUUAUGCGGCUGAGGAUUUAAAGAAAUGUCUUGAGGGUUUGGUGCAGCACUUGUUUGGUAAACUUAGAUCAGGAGAUUGUCUUAAUCAGAUGCAAACUUAAUGCUAUCAGUUCAUGCUGCAGUGAGAAAUAUGAGUUAAGGAAUCAUUUAUCAGGUCGAAUAAUUCAAAAUCUGGGAAAUACUGCAAGUAAAAGGGGGGAAAAAUAAUGAAAUAAUAAAAUAAUAAAAUAAUAAAUUUAAGUGGGGAAAGCAAUUCAUUUUUUUUUUUUGAUCAGUAAGUAAUAUGUGUAUUGAAAAGAGGUGCUAAAGAAGCGACUCAAAAGUGGGAAAGCAAUUCAUGUUAUGCAAAAGCGGUAUAGGUUGGUCAUUUAGAAGUCAAAUCAAGAUAGUCCAGAAUAAUAUAGGGAAUUAUUUGUGAUUCUCAAGGUACUUGUUAAGAAUCAUUGAUAAAUUACGUAAGGAAACAUUUAAGAGUGCUAUUAUUCUUGAAAUUUCUGAAAUCUAUCAGAAAGGUAGUUUUCAUCUUGGGGUUUACCAUAUACUGUAUAGAAUCUGUGUGGGCUAAAUCUGUUGAAAUUUGCAGGUAAUGUGGAAAUGCGCUGGAUUGAUACAUAUUUCCCUUUCACCAACCCAUCAUUUGAACUUGAGAUAUAUUUUCAGGUAUGCUUUUGAUCUGGCUGGUGGUUGCAUUUUAGCACUAUAUAUUUCGAAUUUCUUUAAAACUUUGUUUUUGAACUAAUUUUAGUAGAAACAGGCUCCAUUUCAUUUUGCUGUUUUUACCUUUUGCAAGGAAGGGUAAAAAUCAUUUAAAAAAUGUGAACUUCAGUUUAUUCCAUUGCUGGCAUGUGUGGCUUUCAUCUGUUUUUGAAGACACUGAGAUUCAUAGACUGAUGAUAUUCCAAUGCUUAUAAUAACAGUAAUGUUGAUGAUAAAAUAAUAUAAAAGUAGAAACAAAAUUAGUUGUCUCCCUUUUUUUUUCUUUUAGUUUCUUUGUUCUUCUUACCCCUCUGUUGUGGGGAGGGGGUGUGGGGCUCUUUGUCGUUGCCAAAUGUGAAAAAGAAGAUGUAUUAUGUCCUUUUAUUUUGGACUUACAGGACCUAUUAUGAAGGCAUUGCUUUCUUCAAUGUAUAUUUAUGACUUCAAGACAUUUUUGUAUUUUAUUUUGUGGCAGCAUUUUUUAGUGUCACUAUUGAAGGAGAAAUUCAUAAACAUAUAUACACACAUGCUAGUGGGCAUACACAAACACUGAUGUUCCACACACUAAUUAAAAAAUUCUUGCUUUGAGUAGUAUCUUUUUCCAGAACUCAUGUCCAUGUCAGAUGGCAACAUGACAAUGACUAUUUGCCAGCAGAUGGAAUGCUGGCAACACUUUUAUGGAUUGAAUGUUUUCCUUUCCCUUUUCCUUGUAGUGAAUGAUGUGUACUUUAGUUGCUCUUACAUAUUUGAUGCAUUGUGCUUAUGCCCUAACUGAUGCAGAACAGAAAAGUACCAAAAAAAAUGAUGGGAGUCUAGGAAUUACUUCCAAAAACCUUAGGCUUCACAUAUAGGUUUCGUUUUCAUCACACAAAAAUGAAAACAUUGAAAGCUGGAAGGUUUUGUGUUUUCAUUCAUUGAUCC
rnacentral:lncRNA from 1 species